GCUUUGGCUCUGGUUUUGGUUCAGGUUUAAGCUUAGGCUCAGGCUCUGGGUGUGGCUUUGGCUCAGGCUUCGGGUGUAGCUUAGGCUCGGGUUUCGGCUCAGGCUUUGGUUCUGGGUGUGGUUUGGGCUCCGGCUUUGGUUCCGGUUUUGGUUCAGGGUGUGGCACUGGCUUUGGUUUGGGCUCCGGUUUCGGUUCUGGGUGUGGCUUAGGCUCUGGCUUCGGCUCGGGUUUGGGCCCCGGUUUUGGCUCUGGCUUUGGCUUUGGGUAUGGCUUUGGUUCUGGUUCUGGUUUUGGUUCAGGUUUAUGCUCAGGUUUUGGUUCUGGCUUUGGCUCCGGUUUGGGCUUUGGCUUCGGCUCUGGGUAUGGCUUUGGUUCUGGUUUUGGUUCAGGCUUAGGCUCAGGUUUAGGUUCUGGAUUAGGUUUUGGUUCUGGCUUUAGCUCCGGUUUCGUCUCUGGCUUCGGCUCUGGGUAUGGCUUUGGCUCCGGCUUAGGUUCUGGCUUUGGCUCCGGUUUUGAUUCAUGCUUAGGAUGAGGCUUUGGCUUUGGCUUCGGCUUCGGCUCCAGCUCUGGCGGCUUCUCGUACAUCGCACGGCCCUGCUUGCUCAUGAAGCGGGCGCCAUGGCCGAGUCCCUGGCCAGCUGCCGCCGCUUCAUCAACUAAAGCGCUCGCCACCGCCAAUGCCCCAAGCAGGAGCACGGCGGCAGUGAGGCAAGGAGAGCGCCUAGCCAUGGCUGGCAAGCUAAGCUCCUCCUCUUCGCUUAUCUUCUUCUCCCUCUCUCACUUCUGCUGUUGUACGUAACUGAACUGUGAGCUUGUGCCAGUGGAUGGAAGGAUUGCUGGGGUUUUAUAGCCCGGGAAAGCCAAACAAUGCAAGCAGGUGUGGUCACAUGUCUCCAUGGCACCCUGCUUUUGUGAUCUCUAGCUGCUUGCCAGAUCUCACCUAGUAUCAUGCCUGCCUCCCUUCCAAAUCUGACUAUUUUACUCUUCUUCACUUUUUACUAACUGCUAACCCUACUUUUUCCUAAUUAAUCAGCACCUGUUCUGAUUAAUCAAUCGGUUACUUGUUACUUUAAUGUAUGACUAGACAAUUAGUCUUUUGUUGGAACACAUGAAUUUUAUACAGCUUUGGUUAGAAACUGAAGUAGUAGUAAUUGGUACGAAAAGCAAGUAAAAUUGUUUGAGUCAUAUUCAGCAGCGGAGCCCGCACGGCAAACAAACAGGGGAAAUGGAACAAGUGCGUAAAAUAGCUUAGGCUAGGUGCAGCAGAAGCUAGCAUUGCAGGAGCAGGAGAUGGACGGACGGAUCGAUCGUCAAUGGACAUCGCCGGUGGUGGGUCGCCGGAAGGACAGCAGCCAGAAACAUUAACGUGGGUGAAAGUGUCCGGCCCUCGCGGCCAUUGGGCCUGUUCUGCGGCUGCGUCGUAGCCGACACCAACAGUGCCGUGCGCACACGACGCAGCCGUAGCCAUGCCGAACAGGCCCAUAUUAUCUUGAGAAUUGCAUCGAACUGAACACAUUAGAUUUUUUAUACACUAUAUUAACAUCGACACUGAGUAAUUUAAAUGAUAAAUAUGAUCAAUUACGGACCGAUCCAGCGUUGUUUUUGAAAAGAUGCUACCGUCCGUUUUCAGCUCUAAGACUACCCGCCAGACAGAAUCUCCCACGGCUUCUCCUCUCAAGAAAAAGAGUAUUGGUCCACAGGCCAUACCCACUCUCGGCCCAAUGUCUCUCCUUUCUCUUCUCCUCCAUGUUGGGCUUACGCGGCUGCGUGAAUGUUUGCAGGCCAUGCAUGCAAAUCAGCCGACAAAUAAAUAAAUUCAGCAUGUCAUUGGUGGUACGCUAUCUUUUCUUGAAAUAUUCCUCUUUAGGCCUCGUUUAACCCCAUAAAAAAUGAUUGAAGUAGAUUUAAGGGAUUCUACACCAUAACAGGUACGGUGCACAAUUAACCCUUUCCAAAUCUCCCUCAAUCGUCCUGAGUGGGGCACGUAGGCGUUCAAAUAAACACGUCCACACACUCACCCAUAUAUGAUAUAUAUGAACGUGUACACACCUUAUUUGCUAUAAGCACCUUUGAAAACUAGAUCAACAUAUCUUGAUAUUUAUAAAACAACCGUAAGCACGUUGUUGGUGAUGGACGCCGUCUAUUACUGAAAAAAUAAUUAGUCAUAAAUAUGUGUAACUGUGUCAAGUCUAUGACUUAAAUUUUUAGUAGACAUGUUACACCACCAUUAACCUAACCAGUUGAGUUAUUCUCAUUUCGCUGCCUAACUUAAAAGAUGGAGCCGCGCGUUGAUAAAUCCACGAUAGUACGCUAUAGAUAGCCACUCUAGUAUAUUUAUUAAUAAAUUAUGCAUGAAGUAAGCUACCCCUAAUAAUUUAAAAGAGAUAUAUAAUUAAAAUAAAUUGAGAUGAAAUAUGUGGCUUUGUUGGGUUGGAUGCACCAAAAAAUAAGUAAGAAAAAGGAAGAAAGGAGUACAACCUAGUGUUGGUAGACUCCAUUACGCGUCCAAAGCAUGCAUGUGUCUGCCAUGUUAUCAACAAAGACACACAUGACACUUGGCAGAGUUAACACGGCAUGAUGGGAUAUGUCACAUAUGGCAUCCGAUUCCAGAAGAGAAAAAAAAGAUGGUAGUGUUAGGUGACAAAGAUGGGGAAAGAACGAAUUAAUAAUUAGGAAAAACUGUAGAUGCCUUGCAGAUCGAGGAUACAGUACACAUGAUCAUCGACUUGGACUGAUGAGCAGCAGCAGCUGGUGUGCAUUUCUCUCGUGCCUCUCGUCUGUGUUUGAGAGCGAGCGACCAACAGUUAAAAAUGGAUUAAGUUAGACUGUACUGUCUCAAUUAAUUCAAAACGCGCGUUUGAUCAGUAUGGGAGAACCUUUAUCUGCUUUCCCGGUAGUAUAUAUAGCUAGGUUGCUAGUUAAAGUGAAUUUCACCAGACUUUUCUUUUUAGAUAAUAUUUCACCUGACUUUUUAGUUCUGAAAAGGUAUAUGGCUGAUCGUGCCAUCUCAGCGAAGAGAAGAAUUUUGGAAAAUGCAUAUGCCAUCGCGAUCAUCCUCAAUCUUUACUAUCAUACCCUUAUUCCGCGCUUUUCCUCGAAGGAAGUUGAGAUAUAUUAUUCACGAAAAAUAUAUACUCCUUUCAUCCUAAAAUAUAGUAACACUCAUUCAUACGUGAAUGGCAAACCUGAAGUAUUGACACCGUUGUUUGUGUGUUCCUAACCAGGAAAGUGUGGAGCUGACUUGAAGAGGACGGCACGGUAGAGGGUAGAGCCUUCUUAAUGAUGCGCCCUAUGACCAUAGUAUAUGAGAAGGCGACCGACAUAAUUAUAAUAUGUGGUAAGGAAUAAAUAGAGGACGGCAUCACAUGAACGAGUAAUAAACUAGGAAAUAACCAAGGUAGAGACGGAAGCACCCAUUGGAAGGGUGAGAGGUGAGUGGCCAAGCUAUGAGCUCAUGACACCCCAUACCUAGAGACCGGGUCUAUCAUAUUAAUCAACAGCCAACCAUUAACUCAUCGAAUCAAUCAAGUAUUUUCACUACUACGGGAAACUAAACCGGUCGGUUGAGAACCUUGCAUAGGUGCCGGUUUUCAUAACUGGUACAUAGUAGACGACACAGACGAGAGAAAUCAAAGGUGUCAGUUUUGAAAAUGGCACCUUUGAGGUCCCAAGAAUAAAAAACAAAAGAAACUCGAUGCAUCGGCUCAAAUCCCAAUCACCCAUAAGAUUUCCAUCUAAGAACAAAAUCACAGAAUUAAGAACAAAAUCAACAUUCAUGAACAAACAUCUAAGAACACAAUCACAGUAUCAAGAACAAAAUGAGCGUCCAUGAACACACACAAAGAAGAUACCAUCGUUGCUGUUGUUGUCGGGCGGGCCGCCCCUGUGCCGCUCUUCCUCCUUGUCAUGGUGGCCAGAUCCAGCUGUCGUUGAGCUCUAGGCGGCUGGAUCUGGCGGUCUCUACCUCCAAGCGAGAGAAACCACCGCCAUCCCAGCGACGGUGAGGGGAGGAGGAGUUGCAGCUCCGAAGAGGCGAGGAGAGGGGAGGAGAGGGAAGCACCAGAGCCAGAGGGGUGGCGCCCCAUAGGAGGCUAGAUGGCCGGCUGCUGAAGAGGGAGGUGAAUAGAGCGGGCAAGAGAGAGGGAGGUGAAGGGCGAGAGAGUGGAUAAGGACAUGCUCCCCCUCCCUUUGCACUAAAAAACUGGUACCAAUAGUAUUGGUGUCGACUUUUCUCUAGAACCCACACCUAUAGUUGCUUAAAAGUGUCGACUCUAUAUUUUUUUUUGGUUCCAUGAAGGUGGGAAAAGCGUCAAUUUAUGCUAGUUUUAAAUUGGGAAGAAAGUUUGAAAUACACCCUUGAUUAUUGGGUGAGUACAAAUUAACCCCCCUAAACUUGAAAAUCAGACAUCCUUGACCCUCAACUAUCAAUACCAGAUGAAUUAUCCCCUAACUCAAUUCGGCGUGAUUUUGGUUUCACGUUGUUGUCCCAUCAGCAAAUCUUUUUUUUAAAUCAGUGGGGCCCACAUAUCAAUCUCUCACCCUCUCUCUAUCCCUCACCUAUCUAUCUCUCUAUACUCUAUCUCUCUGUCUCUCUCUUUCAAAUAUCCUCUCUCUCUUCUCCCUCCCUCACCUUCAUCUCUCUUUAUCAAGGACAGCGGCGGGCGGAGCUCAGGACGGCGGACAGGACUGGCGGAAGGCGGAGCUUGGGACAAGCAGCGGCACCUCUAGCUCUCCGUCACCGAGAGGCAGCGGCAGAGGCGGAGCUCGGGACGACGGAGGGGACGGGCGGAAGGCAGAGCUUGGGACAAGCGGUGGCACCUCUAUCUAUCCAUCAUUGAGAAGCAGUGGCGGAGGGGGAGCACGGGAACAGUGGCGGGCGGAGCUCGGGGCGAGAAGAGCUCGAGACGGCGGAGGGGACGGGUGGCAGGUGAAGCUUGGGACAAGCGGCGGCACCCCCCCCAUCUCUGUCACCGAGAGGCAGCAGCGGAGGCGGAGCUCGAGACUGCCGAGGAUGGUGAGCGGCAGAGGCGGCCAUCUUUCUUUUCCCUCCCCUUCUAUCAAUUGGUUUGGACGACGAGAAACGGAGUUGGCGCUGCAUAGUGGGGCAUGUCACGCCCUGAAGUUUCCCACUUUUCUUGCUUUAAAAUUUUGUUAAAUAAAUCGCCCGAAGAAAUUGUUUAAAUUAACCUAGAGCUAAUUCCUUAAUUAAUGAAUGCAAUUAAUAAUUGGAAUUGGCAUUGUGGGAUUUUUCUUGGGUCCCACAUGUCGUAAUAUAUUAACAGGUUUUUUAGUAGAAUUCUUAGAGCCCUAUAAAUAAUUUUAACCAUUUAAAAUUCAUAAACCGCAAUAAAGUAUGACAGGAAAAUCCUUUUUUUUCUUUUCCUCCUUUUUCCCUCUUGUUGGGCCAUCGGCCCAACCUCUCCCCGCGCCGCCCUCCUUGCUGGGCCGGCCUAAGCCUCCCCCUCCUCUCUAGGACACCGACAGGUGGGGCCCACCUGUCGGUCGUCCCUAACCUCCCACCGCCCACGCCUCGGCAGCAAUCGCCGCUGCCGUCCACGCUGCUGCUCCGCGCCCCGCGCUCACGCCCACGUCGCCGCCCACCUCUUCCACCUCUCCCGCUCUCGCAUGCGCCCGAAAAUGGAUGGGAUUCGAUUUCGAAUCCCACCCCCCUCUCUCUUUCCUCCCCCACGUUACCGGCCAAAUAGGGGGCCACCCCGGCUGUUUCCGCCCCUCCCGCGCCCAUCAAAUCACUCCCCCAAGCCUCCUCUCCCGUUUCUCUCACUCGCCACGCCCUCCCAUGCUUCUUACACCGUCGCGCCGUCACACCAAGCUCCGCCGCCCGCCAACGCACUCCGGCCACGCGUCGCCGCUGCUAGCGCCAUCGCCACACCGCGCAACCACCGCCACCAGCUUUGCCAUCGCGCGAGCCACCUCGGCCGCCACUCGGUUGCCGCAAAUCGCCCCGGAGCUCCGAUUCCCUCGCGCCGCCGGUGAGCUCGCCAUUGUCUCCAUCUCCGAUUGUUUCGUCUCGCCGUGCCGCGGCUCCUCCCUUCACCCUAACCCCUUCACCGCCUUUUCCUAGGUCGCACCGCUCCCGUGCGCCGUUUUCCAAAGCGCCGCCGCCGCUCAUCCCCUCCGCUCACCACUAUCACUCGCCGUCAUCUCUCCGCACACCGGCCACCCCACGGUGAGGAAUCCCCUCUCCUCCUUCUUUUCCUCUCUCCCAUGAGCGCCGCCGCUCCUCCACGCGUGCGUCGUCGUCUUCGGCCGCCGCCGCCACCUUUUCGCGCCGUCCGCCGCCGCCUCCCGCUCCGCCGGUCGCCACCGUCAGUGGCUGUGCACCGCCACCGCUCCCCAUGGCCAGCCGGCCAGUUUUGAGGCCGAGCAGAACCAGACAGCCGCCGCCGUGCCGUCCGAUCGGCCUCGGGGCCGAUCUGGACCGUCGUUCCCGUGGACCGGCGGUGGCCACCCGCAUGGUCCUAGUCCACGGUAGACCAGCGCCCUUUGAGCCGCUGACAUGCGGGGCCCGCUUGCCGGCGCCGGACCCCCUCGCUGACGUCAGCCCUGGGUUUAUUGUGCAAUAAAAUUAAUUAAGGAUUUUUCUUUAUUAGUAAAAACACAGAUUAUCUUCUAAAAUUCAUAAGUAAUUCAUCCGAGCUCCGUUUAAGUCCAUUCAAGUCUCAGUAAAUUCAUAAAAAUCCCUAGAAUUCAUUAAAAAUGGUUUUGUUUCCUGUUUCAGUAGUCUUAUAGCAUGUUUUGCUAGUGUGCUUUGUUUGUCGCAUAGGUUUCGGUCGUUUCGUCGAUCCACGGUUCCACGAAGACGUUGCUGUGGUCUCAUCAGUGCGAGGGCAAGGCAAGUCAUGCAUUACAAUUGAUCAUAUUGUACCCAAUUUACAAAUAUCCUGCAUUUCUAUUAAAUGUUGCAUUCUUUUACAAUAUCAUGUGGGAUGGGUCCUAUUACUCAGCCAUUUUUUGUUUACACUAUGCCAUUGAUAACUUGGGUAUCAAAAUGACUAGAUGUUGGUUUAGGAAAUGCUUAGCAUUGCUUAGUUUAACUAGUGCACAAAUGGGGAUCACAUUAUUACAUAGACUUUGACUAUUAGCAUAGCUUUGGAUUGGUUCCACCGUAAUGUUGUUAGUUAAUUAAAAUACACUGAAUGGUGGGCUAUGGGUGCGUGGUUUUGCUGGUCGCACCCAUGGCAAUUAAGGACCGGUUCACGGGAAACCCUGGAAGACUUGCCAUGCUUACCACAAGUGGGAAUGGGUAACUGCUUGACUUGUAGUAUAGCUCGACCAUUUCCUAGGCACCGGUGACAAGGGUGGGCGUGAUGGAGUUGGGUCAGCUGGGGUGUCCGGUUGUCCAGCUGCUGGAUUCACCGCGGCGCAUGAGGGGACUGCCCACUGCCUGUUGAGGGUUGGGGGUGAAACCUUAGCGUGGUGUGGAUGGUUAGGGGAGGGUUAUGCGAAGGGUCUUGUCACGAUUUCCCCCUUUGCACUAUCAUGGUGAUACUUCGGGGCAUGGCGACAUGUGUGGAAUCGUGUCUUGUGGGUACAGUUGUACACCUCUGGCCAGAGUAAAACUAUUCGAAUAGCCGUGCCCGUGGUUAUGGGCGAUCAACCAGAUUCACCGUGGUUAGUCUUACCCCGAGUUUAGCUUAGUGAACUGGUGUAGUUCAGGUGGUUGGUUGGGCAUGUCGCAACGUGGUGUAGCGUUGGACAGUGAUUGGUUAAUAUGGACUAAUUACUGCAAUUGUUUUACUGCUUUCAACUACUGUUUUUAAAUGCCUGCUUUAUGAAAAUGAACCUUUAGCCUCCUUUGGAUAUAUCCUGCAUCAUACCUCCUCUUCCAGUAUGACUUGCUGAGUACAGUGGGUAGUACUCAGUCUUGCUCUCUUUUCCCACACACCAGAGCGGAAGUUCUUCCCAGUUGGAGAUGUCUCAGAAAGGUUGGUUUCAUUGCUGCCGUUAAGGAUGCCUGUGGAGUGGAGUCGCCCGCUACAGAAGUCAAGUUUUCAAGCUUAGCUCGUUUUAUCUUUUCCGCUGCAUUUGUAAUCUCUUGUAUUUUUGUAAUCCUGGAUAGAGGUUUUAAUACAUAUUCAGCUUAGAAAUUCUGAUUCGUGAAUUUCUGGGCGUGACAGGGCAUCGAGCGGCGGAGGCGGCUCCUCCUCGGCCUCUGCCGGCACACGCCUCCUCCACGACCACCUCGUGAGCUUGCUGCCACCGUCUCCUACACUCGGGGAUGCUCACAGCCAGCGGCGCACGGCUCGUCCUCGGCUUCCGUCGGCGCAUGGGGCUCCUCCUCCGGUCCGUGGCGUACAACUCAUCUGUGGCAUCUGAGAGGAGAGCGGCGAGCGGCGGAGAGAGAGAGAGGUGAGAGAGGAUAAAGAUAGAGAGAAGAGAGAUAUGACAUUUGGGCCCAUCGUUUUUUUAAUAAAAGAAUUGCUAACUGGACAACCACGUAGGACCAUAACCGCUUGCAAAGUUGCUCAGCUUGGUACUUCAUCUCAUAUUGACAGUUGAGGGUAAAAGAUAUCUGGUUCUCGGGUUUACGGGGAUAAUUCGUACUCACCCAAUAGUUUAGGGGUGCAAUUCGGAUUUUUCCCAACCGUAUCUAUGAGUCGUCUUCUAUUAAGGAUUUUGUAGCAGUGUUUAGGCAUGAGGCAUCUUAUUGUCUUGUCUUCGUGACUAGGCUCGUUGUCUUAGGUACUCAUCGGUUGCCCAUAUUCCAUAAAAAUCCAAAACAGCUUAUUAGCCAAUAAAAUUAAGUUAUUGAUAAAACUUUUAUAUAUGUAUUCUUAACGAAUUAAAAGCUAAUGCUGAAAAAACUAACUUGAAAAUAUUUUAAAAUCAACUCCAAAAUUAAAUUUAAGAAUUCAAAAUUUAACUUCGUUUUGACUUAUUAGGGUAACCAACGGGCUCUUACGUUUAUUCGACAAUUCAUUUUUGUCGUUAACUCACUCAACGCACGUGGAUGCACCACGACACUAAUUAACUAUAAUUAGUUAAUUAGCCAACAUGCAUGCGUCGUGACAUGAGCAGGCUCGGCUAAGUCUUUGCCCAGAGUGGUGUGAUGGUAUAAUCUUGGAUAUUUUUUUUACCAAGCCGUUUUAAACCCUCGAGAAUAUAUCUCCUCGUUUUUCUUAAAAAGUAUUUAAAUAUUUAUAGAAAAUUUUUGAAACAAAUUGAUAACGGUGGUGGAAGGACUGAGGGUCGUUAUGAUAGUGGAUAUGGAUGGGCAGAAAAAAAAAACCGAACCGAAAUAAUCAUAUCGAACUAACCGAGACCAAAAAAUUUGGUCUGCAUUUUCACUAACCGAAUUUAGAUCGGUUAAUUCUGUCUUUGGCGUCGGUUAACCAAAUUGAUCGAAAUAUAUCAUUGGCCAAAUAAUACAGAUGACAUCUCAGCCCACUAAGCCCAAUACCACCUCAUCCGGAGGCAACCAACUCCCUGCUGCACCACCACAAGAUCUUUUCAUCCCCAAUCCCCACCUUAUGCGCAUCUCCGAAGACUGCAAAUUCCCCCACCGUGCGGUGCUGCCAUUGACGACCUGUGACUGCGAUGUGCUGCCCCUGCUGCCGCCGCAUCUCGCCUCUCACCCCAAAACCAACAACCCCUGCCACCGCCGCCACAUCUCGGCGCCCUCUGAUGCAUGCCGGCCAGCCACACCUCGUGGAGGCCGUGCGCGGGAGCUAGAGACCUCGCCGACAUCGGCCAUGAGCAAAGAGAUGGGAGCCGCAGUAACAACAACGGCAGGAGGCGAUGGGAUGGAUGGGAUCUUGGUCCCUGGAGCCAUCUAGAACAAUUGAUGGCAGAGAUCGAUGGGGAGUAUCGAUUUGCUUCUUUUUUUUUCUUUUUCUUCAGAAUCCCAUCGAUCUGCUUUUUUUUUCUCAGAAUCGUGCUCGAUUUGCUAGUGGCAUCAAAUAGUAGUGCAUCAUCUGUGUGUUUCCUUUAAUUCAUUGAUCAUGUACAGAUUACUUGCCAUUCUUUUUUGUUGUUCGAACUUUUGUAACGGUUAGUUCGGUCUAUGACCGAGACCGAACCGAACUAACCAAAGACCGAAGUGCUCGGUCGUUAAAGACCGAAUUUUCAAAAAGACCGAGGAACCGAACCGAAUCUCUCGGUUAGACCGUGUUGUCGAAACGACAACUAUAUACGUCGAAGGAUGUGGUUACUCAACAGUGGUUGGGAAAAUGAAGUGUACUAAAUUUUGAAUUUUCCUUGGGAUCCCCCCAUUAGAUAGCCCUAGGGGACUAUUUAUAGCCCCAUUACAGGUCCUUACUACCAGGGUUUAGGUUGUACAGGAAAAUUUACAUGAUUACCCUUACAAAAGGGGCAUUUACAGGGGUACAUAAUGUUAUAGGGGCUCAUGGGCCCCUGAUGGGCCGUCUGGCGAUCGCCGGCCUGAUGGGCUGGAAAGGCUUCCUCAGCCCUCGCGGGGGCGAACUUGUCAAGGCGAAGUCAUCCUCCUUCGGCAGACAGUCUUCGCCUUGCACCCUUCGCCUGAGACGCCUCUGGCCUGGCGCUACUCUUCGCCUUGCACCGCUCUUGCUCCAUAGCCUUCGCCAUGGGUUUCGGCAGGUUUGGUCGAAGAGCCUCAUGCCAUCCGCCAACAAGCCCCUCACGGGCAAGGGUGAGACUGGAGCUUCGGCCGAGACCGUGCAAACCAUGUGGUAUGGUAUGCGGCGCCCCCUUUCGACCGAUGCUCCUGCCGAAACCUACAUUAUUCCUGCGAAUGAAGUUUGUUAUUUGUGCGGCUGGUAUUAUUUUGCCGCGCUUCGCCUCGUGCGAUUGAUGGUUAUAUAUAUUCUUUUUUCCUGGGCCGAACGGAAUAGUAUUGGGCCUUCCUAUCUUUAGGCUUUUUACUGUGCCGCUCGGUUGAUGGGAAUUUACCGUUUCGCCUACCCUUGCGACACGUGGCGCUUUAUUACUGGUGGGUAGGCGAACGGUCGCCUGGGCGGGCUAUAUAUUCCUGCUGCUCUUUCCUUUUCACCGCCACACUUGCCAUUUUACCGCGCGCGCUCUCUUUCUCCGUCUCUUCCCUUCACAGCAUCUUUCGACCCCUCAGGCGUUUUGCCGAAACUCUUUUUUCGCCACCGAAAACGCACCGUUCGCCAUGGCCCCACGUACGCCAAACCCUACUUCGGCGAAAGGGCCAGAUCCCGGCCGAGUCGAUGACGACAGCACUGCCUUUCUGGGGGUCUCUCUUGUGGACGACGUCGAGCUGGCGAAGCUGGUGAGCUCCGGAGCGUUGGUUAAGGGGCAGGCUUUUGCUCCAGGGAAAACCGUGGUGCCGAAACCUGUCGACAAUCGGACGGUGGUGUUCGCCAUAUUUUUUGAGGCAGGGCUACGGUUUCCCUGCAACGUGUUGUUGCCAGAGAUCCUUCGCCUCUUCUAGGUGGAACUUCCGCAGCUGAGCCCGUCGGCGCUUGUUCGGAUCGCCAUCUUUGACUGGGUGUGCCGGACUUCCAGGUUUGAGCCCAACGCUGAGCUCUUUGGCGCCAUAUUUUUCGCCACCGUGAACUCGAAGACGGUGAUUACCCCGGCUGGAACGAAAAAAACAGUGUUCGGGAGCGUGAACUUCAACGUUCGCCCCGAGCGGUCCGAUCUCUGGCCGGUGAACGCUGCCAUGUCGAAGUGGGACCGCCAUUGGAUGGCAAGGUGGUUCUACCACACCAUCCCCUUCGAGGCUAGUUCUGAAUCAGCGAAAGCCCUUCGAUGCCGGCGCAGGGCGAUUGCGCCGAACCGGAGACCCAAGAUCGCUGUGGACGGCGCCAUGGAGGCGCGGUUUGUUCUACUGCGGAAGGUUUGCUCCCGCCUUAGCUGCCGUGACUUGGUGGAGGAAUUUUGUAUGCUUCGUAUUUUUCCCCUCUCCCAGUCAUGGCAAGUCGCGGUUGAACAAGGCGAAGAGGUCGACGGUUUGCCGAACCUGAUACUUCCUGAGGGGGCGAACGGUAAGACUGUUCUUUUGCUAUAUAUUGUUGUGCUUUGUUAUUUCGCCUUAUUUGACUUUUGACAUAGCUUCACAUUCUACUUUUACAGUGUUGACCCUCGACCAGGCCGAAGCCGAAGCCCGCAGGAUGAUCGGCGAUGUUUCGGUCGUCGAGUAUAGUCAACUGUUAACGCGUCAAGCGGCUGGGCGGGCGAACCGGGUUUACAAUGGCGAACUGCCUCCCCGGGCGAAUCCCCAAAAGGCCGACGACGAGGCAGGGCCUUCGCGAAAGCGGAUGCGUGGACAAGUGAAGCUUGCCCCCAAGAAGCGAAGGGUUCCUGCUUCGUCUGACUCCGACGCCGACGACGAGGAUGAUGCCGAAGAACGUGACGGGGAGGAGGAAGGAGAGGAAGAGGAGGAGGUGGAGGCUGUGGCUGAUAAGGCCGCGGGUGAGGCGGUCGAAGACCGCGCCGACACCCCCGGGUACACUCCUACCCCAAGUCCUGGUCACAACGAAACCAGGGUGGAGUCGAACAGCUCCCCCCUUUGUCGGAAGGAUUUGGAAGGGGUGAAGGCCCUAGUUGCGUUCUCUUCGGGCGCGGCGGCGAAGGGAGGUCCUGUCAAAAAGGUGGCUAAAAAGAAAGGGCUCGUCGAUGUCACUCGCGUUUUUAGCGAUGACGAGUCCUCCGACGGGACUCCGACUUCGCCCGCUGGUCGCAGCGUGGAUCUUUCAGCCGCCCCCAUUCCUCCACUUGGCGCCGCUGGAGUGGACGGUAGUACCGCCGCUUAGGCUUCGGCUUCUGCGGAAAGGAUUGUGAUGGCCGCGGCGAAAGUAUUCGGCAGUCCUCCGCAUCAGCCGGUUGACUCGCCGCUGAUGGAGGCGAAGGGAAAGAGAGCGGUCGCUGAGACAUCCACUUCGGAAUAUUCGCUCCCAGUACCCCGCUUCGCCCUUGGCGACUUCGAGACGCGAGCGGACCUCCUUCCUUUUGUGGAGGGGGUAAGCAAUCUUGUACUGCCCGCCAGCGCCCUGAGCUUGUUCACCGAACUGAAUGAGUUCGACGAGGGGUGCUCUGCUAUAAAAAGCCUAGCUGUUCGGGUACGUUUCCCCCCCGAUUUUAUCUUUACUCUUCCUCUAUCUUGUUUUUACAAUUGACACUUGUUCUCUUCGCCGCUCGUAUUCUGCGCCCAGAUCCUCGCGGCUCACUGCUCAACGGAGCGAACCGUGCGAGCUCGACUUGAUGGGUUCAAAAGCCAUCUUCGGGCCAAGGAUGACGAACUAGGCCGCAAAAAUUUAGAGAUGGAGGCCCUUGCAAACACCCUUAAGGAGGCGAAGGCCGAAAACAAGCGGCUCCAAUCGAAACUAGAGAAAGGGAAGGAAGCUAGGGCCGAAGUCGAUCGCUUAAAGGCCGAACUAGAGAAAGAGAAGGCCCACACCGCCGUGCUCAUAGAUUAUUAUAACCUCACCGAGCCGAAGAUGGAGGCUCUUCGGCAGGAGGUUCGCAAGGCCAAAGCAAGCGCUGUAGAGGAGUCGCGGCGGUUUUCGCAGGAAAUGGUGAAAACCACCGAGUCCGCGCGGACAGCGUGCCAAACGCUUCGCCUUGCCCUUACUGAUAUGGGCGCGAAGGUGCGGGGUGUCCCCUCCGAAGAUGCCUCAGCCUUCGACUUCUCCGAAUGGACCUAACAGGCUGGUGGUUCGGUUUCAGACUACGCCACCGCAUACGGCGAUUGCUGUGCACGCGUGUCAGCGGCCUUUACCAUGGGCCUCCUGCAGCAGUUCGGCUACGAGCACAUCGCCGAGUUCCCCAAGUACGCGAAGGGGGAUUGGGAAAUCAGUGGGCAAGACAUUUCACCUGCACUUCGUGCGUGGCGAAAACAAUUUUGGCAGAAGGACGGCCGCUCCGCCGCUAAGGCGCGCCUUUUGGAGCAGCUGGCGAAAGCGGAGGCGGCGGACAUUUGUGAAGAGGAGGGCGCGGCGGCCGGAGGGGGUGGAGGCGAUGCCCAGGAUCACCCAGAGGUGUGAGGCCCUCCGCCCUUCUCUUAGAUUUUCAUAGUUUUCUUUUGGUGUUCGCUAGAUGUGGCGAACCAUUGUAUAUUCGGCAAACUGCCGCUAAACCUUAAAAAAGGCUUUUUUGCAUACUUGGACUGUAUGAUAAUUUUAACCACUUUUUAAUGAUCAAAGUCUUUGGCAUAUUAUUAUUUCGCUCAUUUUGCAUUAUGCCAAACCUUCCCCUUCUUUCGCCUAUUCUUACCAUGCAAGAUGUGUUUUGCCUUUUCUACACUGUCUACCAGGGGGUCUGCCGAAAAUCAUGCAUUCGACCCCCUUCUGGGAGCUGGAGAAGUCAAAACGAGAAAUUUGUGGCAUUAAAGGGUUUGCCGAAGGUGCGAUGUCCAUUUCGGCCUGUUUAUCGCGAAAUGGAAAAAAACGGUCGCAGCUAUAAAGUUUUCAAGGUUGCCAACUGGCUGCGGGCGCACCCCGGGCGAACCUUAGAAGAUUACGAUCUUGUUCAUUCAAGACGUUUGGAGGAUAUGGCUCGCUUUUGGCGAAACCAUCAGAAGACUAAACGCCAGGAAUCGAUCUUUCAGCGUCGUUACAGUUUAGUCUGUGUUUCGCCCCCUACUCCUCUUAAGGUUGUGUAUAAUAUUAGUAGUGAUGACGAACCUAAUUCGUCCGACCAUUCCUUAGGGAGGGAUAAUGAUUACUGGGGCGAAAAUGUAAUUUACUUGUAAAAUGAAUUGUAUUGGGUUGUAAACCUUGUAUUCUUCGAUUAUUUUUUCGAAGCUAAUAAAGAACGUGCUUUAUUUCCUUUUCGCUAUUUUUCGCAUCGUCACACUUUGUGCUUUUGUUAGGUCGGAACAUGCCGGCCCCUUUGCAUAUAGUAGCGAAAUAGGUGUAGUGACUUCUUUUCGUCGUUCGUUUUCGAUCUGUAGCGUUCUGUGUCGAGAGAAACGCUUUUGCUUUUAUGCUGAUCGGUCGUAACGUCGUUCGGCUAUUUAUUUUCCGAGACAAGCUGUUGCGGUUUCAACGUUCGGCGAGCAAUGCUUCGGCCGAUUCGUUUCGCCCCCCUGGUCUUUUUCGCUGAUCAGGCGUUUGUCUUGGGGUUUUUCCACAAAUUAUCAAUCACACGAAAAGAAAUAAAAAGAAGGCGGAGGACACAAAGAUUUUAUACUGGUUCGGGCCUCCAUGGUGGAUAAUAGCCCUACAUCCAGUUUUUUUUUCUUUUUCUCUUCUCUUUUUUCCUUUUUUUUUCUUGCCGAAAGGCUUAUAUAGUGCCGAAAGGCUUACAUGACAGUAUGUACAUUUUUACAAGUUGGCGAUUUGGGUGCCACCCAUUCUAGACAUAAAAGCGCUUGAGGGAGGCGGCGUUCCAGGAAUGGUCGAACUCCUCGCCUUCGAGUGUCGCUAGGCGAAAAGAUCCCGUCCUGGACUUGUGUUUGAUAAUGUAUGGUCCUUCCCACUUUGAUUCAAGCUUGCCAACCGCUAAUGGGUUCGCCUUUUUCCUUAGGACAAGAUGACCAGGCAUCAGCUCCGUGGGUCGGACUUUUUUGUUGUAAGUUGCCGAAGUGCUUGUGGCGUACUUGUGCAUGUGCUCGAGCGCUUCGACCCUUACAGCUUCCAAGAGUUCGAGCGAUACCUCGCGCCCCUCUUCGCCCCCGGAGAACAUAACCCUUGGUGAGUUAGCCCCUAGCUCCGCUGGGAUCAUUGCAUCAUCGCCAUAAAGAAGCAUAAAUGGGCUAAACUUGGUUGGUCUUAUGGGGGUCGUCCGAAGGGCCCAAAGAACCGAUAACAAUUCUUCUGGCCAUUUGCCUUUCGCCGCCCCCUCAAGUCUUUUCUUUAGUGCUUCUAAGAUCUUGCCAUUUGUACGUUCGGCCGCCCCAUUUGACUGUGGGUGCGCGACCGACGCGAACCUGAUUUCUAGGUUAAGCGCUUCGCACAUUUCUCUGAACUUAUCAGAGUCAAACUGCUUGCCGUUGUCAGUAAUGAACUCUUUUGGCACCCCGAAAUGGCAAAUAAUAUUUUUCCAUACAAACUUCUGUACUGCUGCCGAAGUGAUUGCCCCAAGGGGUUCGGCUUCGAUCCAUCGAGAGAAAUAUUCCACAGCUACAAUUACGAAUUUAUACCCGUUUCGCGCCACCGGGAAUGGCCCAAUAAUGUCCAGUCCCCAUCUGGCGAAGGGCCAUAUUGGUGCAAUGGGCUGCAGAUCAUACUGGGGCGCGGCUUGGCUUCGGCCAUGACGCUGGCAACUUUCGCACUUCUUGAUUUGCUCAACACAGACUUUCAUCACAGUGGGCCAAUAAAGUCCUUGUCUAAAUACUUUGGAGGCCAUUGUUCUUGCAGCCUGGUGCGCGCCACAUAGCCCUUGGUGUAUUUCCUUUGCCAUUUCUUCGCCUUCGGCAAAAGAGAUGCAACAAACUAAGGGUUGAAGUACCCCGGAGCGGUAAAGCUGACCCGAGACCAUCUUAUACUUCGUGGCUCUGAGUUGCAAACGCUUCGCUUCUGCUUCGUCUACCGGAAGCCAGCCAGUUUCAAGGUGUUUCACAAAUGGGGUUCGCCAGUCAUAUGAGUCUUCGCCCAGUUUCUCUUGGUCGAUUGUCAUGACUUCCGAGCUGUCCAUGGGCACACUUGGAGCAUGUAGGACUUCGAAAAAGAUGCCAAGCGAAUGCGGGCCACCACAAGCAGCGGAUUUCACCAAGGCGUCUGCUUCAUCGUUUUGGUCUCUAGGCAAGUGUUCGACCGUUAUGCCGGUGAAGCAUUUUUCCAUGGACCGAACAGCCUCCAGAUACCUCUUCAUUCCCUUUUCUUUUGCCUCGAAGGAUUUGUCAACAUGGCCUGCUACCAACUUGGAGUCAGUUCGAAUUAGCAGGCGCCGGACUCCCAGUGCUUUCGCCUUUCUUAGGCCCAGGAGAACGGCUUCAUAUUCUGCUGCAUUGUUGGUUGUGUUGAACUGUAAUCUCGCUGCGUACCGAAUCGGCACACCAUUCGGCAAAAAGAGGACUGCCGCAACGCCUGCCCCCUUGUGCGACCACGAACCGUCAGAGCACAUCACCCAGAACUGGUCAUCGGGCUCGGGCUCGGGGGCAAGUACUGGUGUCCAUUCAGCUACGAAGUCAGCUAGCACUUGAGACUUGAUAGCAGAGCGUGCAACAAAAUGCAAGUCGAACGGGGAUAGCUCUGCCGCCCACUUGCUGAGCCGGCCAGUGACUUCCUUGCCUCGGAGUAUUUCGCCCAAGGGGUACUGUGAUGGGACUAUGCUUUGUGGGCCUGGAAGUAGUGCUUAAGCUUGCGCGAAGCCAUUACUAGAGCGUAAGCAAGCUUUUCCAUUUCAAUGUACCUUGUCUUCGCUCCUUGCAGUGCUUCGGAGACGAAGUAGACCGGUUUCUGUCCGGACUCUGUUUCUUGGACGAGUGCAGCACUGACUGCCACCGGUGAAGCUGCCAAGUAUAACAGCAGUUCGCUUCCUGGGGGUGGGCUUAUCAGAGCUGGCGGGCUUUGCAAGUAUUGCUUUAGCUCGUCGAAUGCUGCUUGGCACUCUGGUGUCCAAUUAAACUUUCCCGCGCCCCGGAGGGUCUUGAAGAAGGGCAAACCUCUUUCGGCCGCCUUUGAGAGGAAUCGACUGAGUGCUGCAAUUCGGCCUGUAAGCUUUUGUACUUCAUGUACGCUUGACGGAGGCUUCAUUUGCUGGAUGGCAUCGAUUUUCUCGGGAUUCGCCUCGAUGCCCCUUUCGGAAACAAGGAAACCCAACAACUUGCCUGCGCGGACGCCAAAAACGCACUUCACCGGAUUCAGCUUUAUGCCUGCCGCGCGCAAGCUGUCGAACGUCUCUUGCAGGUCGAACGCAUGGUCGAAAGCCUUGCGGCUUUUUACGACGAUGUUGUCGACGUAAGCUUGUACGUUUCGCCCAAGCUGCUUGCCAAGGACCUUGUACACCAGCCUGGCGAAGGUUCCUCCUGCGUUCCUUAAGCCGAAAGGCAUCCUGAGGUGACAAAAUGUGCCGAAUGGAGUGAUGAAGGAUGUUUUGGGGAUGUCGAGCGGGUUCAUGUGGAUCUGGUGGUAACCGGAAUAUGCAUCCAGGAAACUCAUGAGCUCGUGUCCAGCUGUUGAAUCCACGAGCUGGUCGAUUCGCGGCAAGGGGAAAUCGUCUUUCGGACAUGCCUUGUUCAGGUCUGUGAAAUCGACACACAUGCGCCAUUUGCCAUUUGACUUCCGCACCAGCACUGGAUUCGCCAACCACUCCGGAUGGUCAAUCUCUUGAAUAACCCCCGCCCAGAGUAAUUUUUGUACUUCGGUCUUCGCCGCUUCUUGGUGAUCGGCAAACAUCUUGCGCAACUUUUUCUUUCUUGGCUUAAUAUUUGGCUUGACUGCUAAGUGAUGCAUGAUGAGAUCCGCCGGGACGCCCCCCACCUCGUUAGGGCUCCAGGCGAAGAUAUCGAUGUUCUUUUUGAGCACCUCUAGCAUGCUCUCAACUUCUUCUUCGCCUAUGUGGCCCCCCCAGUGAUACGAGCUUUGUGGGGUCGGCAUCGUCAAUCUGCACUUUUGUUAUCUUGCCGUGAGGGGUGGGCUUCGGCGUGUGCUUGGGCCGCUCAUGCGGUUCGGUCUCAACAUUGUGCACUGCUCUGUUGAUUAUGGCUAGAUCGCGUUUUGAAGCGGCCGAAGGCUGAAGCCCCUUGACUACUAUCACCCCUGUUGGGCCAGGCAUCUUGAGCUUGAGAUAAUUAUGGUGGGAAAUGGCUUCGAACUUGUUCAGGGUUGCACGGCCGAAGAUGGCGUUGUAGUUGUAUGGGAUGUCGACGACGUCGAACAGUAUUUGCUCUUCGCGCCUGUUUUCUCCUAAGCCGAAAGCUAUCAGCAAAAGUGCUUGGCCAAGAACUUGCACUGCCUCUCCGCCGAACCCCCGGAGCGACGUUGGUGCCGGUGCAAGAGCUUGGGUUGGCAAGCCCAUCUUAGCAUAUGCUUCGGCGAAGAUCACGUCGGCCGAACUCCCCCUAUCGACCAGGAUUCGUCGGACUUCAAAACCGGCUAUCUCAGCUGAGAUUACCAGUGGAUCUUGAUGCGGGAAUAGGACUCCUUCGUCGUCUUCUGGCCCAAAAGAGAUCAGCUGGUUCACGUACUGUGGCGCCCCCUCACCCGCCGAAGUGAUGUUGUGGACCAUACGGAUCUGCAUCUUCCUCCGCCGUUUCGACAACAGGCUUGGCGGAUCAGCUCUUGUAAUCACUUGGAUUACCCUUCGUUGUGUAUCUUGGCGUUGUUCGGCUGGGGGUAUUUGCUCCUGAACUGCUUCACGGGGUGCUUCGACAGUUGUUCCUUGCUGCGGCCUUGGGUCUUGCGCGUUGCCACGUUGCCUAAUGUUUCGGCAUUGCUCCGUGGUGUGCGAAGAGCAUUCGUGAAAAGCGCAGUAGAGGUCUUUUCGGACCUUCUUGCGGGCUGGCUGCUGAUGGUUGCUUGCUUGCUGGGCGUCGAACUCCUUGCGUAGGGCUUGCACUUCUUCGACAGCCAUCACAGCCUUGCCCGCCCGAUCUGUUCUGAACUUUCUCCAAGUCAUGGGGGCUUGGCCUUGCCUUGGCGGCUGUCCCUGGAUCGCCGGCUAAGACUGGCGAACAGAGAAGGGAGGUGGAUCGGCAAUUUGAACUUGUGCUUGAGCUUGAGCAGCGGCGACGGAGGCUUUAUCGUACUCAGCUUGUAUAGCUUGCCGUCGCUUAGAAUCCUCCUCGCCCCUUGCGAACCCGUCAAUGAUGCGAAGUAGGUGCUCGAGCGUCUGCGGCUCCUUGUUGGCGAUUUUUCUUGUUAGUUCGCCCUCAAGCAGACCGGCCGAAGCGGCGUUUAUAACCGACGCCUCGGUUAUGUCUUGAACUUGGCACCGGGCUUGCGAGAAGCGACGCAUGUACUCCCUUAUCGACUCUCCCGGCCUUUGGCGAAUGCCAAGAAGGUGUUGCUGCGUCUUCGGCUCCUCAUAGGUGCCUCAAAAGUUAAGGACAAAAACAUCGCGCAAUUGCUCCCAUGAGUAAAUGCUAUUGGCUGGUAAAUUGAAAUACCAAGAACGGGCGAUGCCGUCUAGAGCGAGAUGUAUUACCUUCGCCUUGGUAUUUUCGUCACCAUGAGCCGCUUCGAUCGCUGACUCGUAGAUGGAGAGGAACUCCUUCGGGUCAGUUUCGCCCGAAUAAUGUGGGACAGGUGGGAACUUGAACUGGGGCGGGAUUGGACGAGUCUUGAUUCCCCCACUCAGCGGCAGCCCCUUUUCGCCUCCCGCCCUGUUUACCGCACCUUGCUGCGGGUACGGUAUGGCAAAGGGCGAAAUCACGGCUUGUGCGUGGAGUUGGGCCGCGGCAUUCGACUACCCGGCUCCAACUGGUGGUACUUGCUGGGCCACCAUGGAUGGGUCAAAGAUUGGCUGCGACGACAUCAUGGCAGCUUGGAUUGGUGCUUGGUUUGUUCCGAAGCCUAGGGUUGGAACUUGCUGCCGAACGGUUGUCACCUGAGCAGUGUUGCCGAAGUCGAACUACUGUCCUUUACUCCACGGCGAAGGUCCCGAGCUUGGCUGAAUCGGUGGCAACCAAUUAGGUGCACCUUGACUUGUAUUCCCCACCGGGUGAGCCGAUGGGGUUGUACUUGAAAUGUAGUGGGGUUGGUUGAGUUGCUGAAGGAAAGCUUAGAGUUGCGCCUGCAGAGUCGAAGCCCCUUCCGUCACUGUUUGUGUCACUUGGCCAGGUGGUUGAUGCUGCUCGGCGAAGUACACCGGCGGCUGUGCGGCUAGUGGUGGAGAGGGCUGGGUCACCACUUGCGGCCGGACUUGAGGUGGGGCAUAGCCUGCCGAAUACUGAAGGAUUGGAGCCGACGUUGCCUUGGUCCGCCUUGUCGCCUCGUAUGCUUGUUGUUGUUCUUACAUUUGGCAAAGCAUGUCUUGGAGCCGUGUCAUGUUCUGCCGCAUGGCUUCCAUGUCGGCUUCGGCUUGCACUUCGGGGUCCAGGCUGAUUUGGGCCUGUACAACGGCGAGCGCAAUCGGCGCCGCCGGCUGUGAUGGGGCGGCUUGAGGCACCACCAGUUGGUUUGUCGAAAGGUUCCCCGCCCUGGUCUGGAGUGCCCUUGCCGCCGCAGCCGCCUUCGCCACAUCGGCCGUGUUCGGCACUUGCACUGAGGUUGCGGGGGCCGAAGACAGUUGUGAUGGCGCGGGGGCCGAAGGCGGCUGUGAUGGCGCUUGUCCUUCUCCAUCUUCGGCCACGGACGCCGAAGGCUCUGCUCCUUCCUCGGCGGCCAUGUCUGGUCCGUCGUCGCUCUCCUUCCGCCUGACGGCCUUCUCCUUCACGACCCUCUUCGGUGGCACUCGCUCUCAGUGGUUUCGCUCGGAGUCCCCAUGGACGGCGCCAGCUGUUGUCGAAACGACAACUGCAUACGUCGAAGGACGUGGUUACUCAACAGCGGUUGGGAAAAUGAAGUGUACUAAAUUUUGAAUUUUCCUUGGGAUCCCCCCAUUACAUGGCCCUAGGGGACUAUUUAUAGCCCCAUUACAGGUCCUUACUACCAGGGUUUAGGUUAUACAGGGGAAUUUACAUGAUUACCCUUACAAAAGAGGCAUUUACAGGGGUACAUAAUGUUAUAGGUGCUCAUGGGCCCCUGAUGGGCCGUCUGGCGAUCGCCGGCCUGAUGGGCCGGAAAGGCUUCCUCGGCCCUCGCGGGGGCGAACUUAUCAAGGCGAAGUCAUCCUCCUUCGGCAGACAGUCUUCGCCUUGCACCCUUCGCCUGAGACGCCUCUGGCCUGGCGCUACUCUUCGCCUUGCGCCGCUCUUGCUCCAUAGCCUUCGCCAUAGGUUUCGGCAGGUUUGGUCGAAGAGCCUCAUGCCAUCCGCCAACAGACCGAAUGCCCACCCCUAAUGGUGGAGGAUGAGCAAAUGGUGGAUUAAAGUACAGUUUAACAACGUUCUAAAAUUAUCUCAGCUCAUGGGAUAAGAAAGUAAUGUUGGUUGGUUUUAUCGGCUAAUACCGGUUAGCUAGGGAAGGGGUAAAAUCCUACCAGAUUUCCUUUCCUAACAGGAAAGAAACGAAACAAUAAACGAAGGGACAAGAGAUAAACGUUACCGUGAUUGGUGAUAACAAAUUUUGAGUCUUAUCCGGAUCGACCCCGAGUCUCACCAGUGCAAAUAAAAAGAAAUGAAGGCAUUGAGGAGAGGUGACGACUAAUUCUCUACGUGUAAAUUCUGAAGCCCUAAAAAAGAGCCCGAUUGAUCUCAAACAGUGGAAAGGGUUUAUAGUGCAAACCACUCCUGUGCAGGUGAAUCAAGAAGGACAACAGAAGAAUCAAAAGAAAUUAGCAAAACUUCAAUUCAUCUGGUCAGUAAUUAUCUCAAUUCCGUAUUUAGAAUUGAUGAUCAUGUCUUAAGCUAAAAAAUAGAUCUUGAGUAAAUAAUUUCAACAAGUAAACGCCACCAUUAAUGAUACCUCUAUUUUCUAAAAAAAAAACCCAUUAAUGAUACCUCUUGCUGCUCUGCCAUCGCAUUGGUCGCCUAAUUACGGUUGCUUAAUUUCAUCCAAAUCCGAUCCAUCGCUCUCGAUCGAUGCUGCCUGCUGAAGAUCAUAGCUUGGGAUUUGGGAAUUGAAGUUGGGGCCUACAUAUGGUCAUAUGCCCAUCCACGUACAGUUGCAAACAUGCUCCUCUGAUUUCCUGCCGGGUCCGUGUCACGCGUCUACAGGACAAGCUUGUGUUGUGUGUGGAGUACACAAGGACGUACAAGAUGCUGUUUAUCAUUGUACGGAACGGAGGUUUAUGGCAGGUAAACGUCGCGUGAGUGACAGGACAUGGAGCUAAUUCCUGACGUUAACAGAGUUGAUUACUAUACUACUUCAUUUUACUUUAACUGUUUUAAAAUAUAAGGCUCGUAAGUUUUUUAAGGUAGCUUUAACAUAAAGUUUUGAAUAUUAAUAUAUUUCUUUUACUAUCAACGGCUAUAUAAAUUUGGUAUCAUAUGAAAAAUACAUUUAAAUGAAUGUAAUAAUGUCACAUGGUGCAAAACAUAUAAAUUAUUUUUAUAAUACAGCAAAUGCACAUGUACACACAACACCACCCUCGCACACCCUCGUGAACCCAUCUUUUAACACACGGUUAAAGAGACAGAAACCAACCAUACAUUCUUAAUUUCACUAAAUUUCUAUUAAAACAGUGUAUUCUUGAUUUCAUAAAAUUCUUAUAAUCACCCGUGCUCCCUAAUACAUAUAAAUUAUUAGUUCAAUUAUUAAUUAAAGUUUGUAAAUUUUGAUUUUUUUUAAUAAAAAAACAUGUGGAUGUCUUUUGCGGUGGGACUAGAGUAGUACAGUAGUGCUCCUUCGGCUCCUGAAUGGUCAUUUCUUUUUUUUGACUCUUGUGAAUACUCUCUGCUGCAUUAGCCUGCUGUAUGAUUAUCUCCUCUGCAGUCUGCAGUGUGCACCAAUGGCGAGCUGGUCAGUCAUUUACAACAUUGGCUGGGUGUUUCCCUUCAAACUUCAAAUUUUUCCGUUAUUUAAAAUUUUUUUGAAAAAAUUUAAAAACAUAAGUCACGAGUAAAGUACUAUUCAUGUUUUAUCAUAUCAUAACAAACAAAAAAUAUUAAUUAUAAAAAAAUUUUAAAUAAGACGGAUGAUUAAAAUUGGACGUGAAAACUUAUGGUUAGACUGAAAUGGGACAGAGGGAGUACUAGCAGGAGACAGUGGCAACGAUGUGUUUACCAAUGGGGAAAUUAUGGUACCCCGCACUUUGUCGGUGUAUUCUACUAGUAACUAAUAGUAGAAUAGUAAAAUCAACAAAAAUCAAUGCAGGUCAUGAGUUAAACCGUGAACCUGCAGAGGGCAGACUGGAACAAACCAGGUACAGAUUGGAUUACCCAUGAUGCUUAUUUUACGUACUAAUGCCUCCCUCUCAAAAAUAAAUUCAUUUUCUAUCGAUCCAACGUAUAUCAAUAUAAAACCAAAAUAACUAGAAAAUCCCCACUUUAUCAAAUCCAAAUUUAAUUAUGUUUCUUUAUCUACCCUGAUACAUUUAUCAUAUACUUUUACAAACUCUGAUGUACUGAUUGCUUGAAAAAAGAUAUUAUUUUGAGAUAAAUGGGAGGGACCAAAGACUUAUGUAGAGAUGGAGGGAGGAGAAGAGAGCCCGUACCAUUUUCACUGUAUUUAUGAAGGGCGCUAAUUCAAAAUGUAAUAUUUAGGAUAAACAGUUUUGAUAUUUUAGUGUUGGAUAGUACUCUCUCCGUUUUACAAUGUAAGUCAUUCUACCAUUUCCCACAUUCAUAUUAAUGUUAAUGAAUCUACACAUAUAUAAUCUAGAAGAAACUCAACAGGAGCAGUAUUAAACAGAACUGGACAGCAUAGAAGAUGCACACACAUAUAUAUUAUUAUUUAUAUACACUACUAAGUAGAAAAGAAUGCCACAGACACGGUAAUAAAAAUGGCAGUAGAUACAUAAGAAAUAAUUUAAUUACACUAGCUAGCAGUGGCACAUCUGAAAAAACAACGUGAAAUAAAAGGGAAAAAAAGCAAGCAGAAAGCUAGCUCAUCACUUUAUUCCAGAAACGGUACAGUGUAGUGACUCGCUCGCUCCUCCCUCUGGCGAAAUAAUGUCGUCAAUGCCUCAAUCGUGCAGCAGCAAGUGCUCGGUCUCCGGUGAUCGCCGUCACUGGUCGGUCGCUGGCGGUAUGUGCGGCGGCUUGUGCUUCUUCGGAGGUGCUUCAGGUUUUGGCUCAGGCUUAGGCUUAGGUUUCGGUUCAGGCUUUGGCUCUGGGUAUGGUUUAGGCUCCGGUUUUGGUUCGGGCUUAGGCUCUGGUUUAGGUUCAGGCUUCGGCUCUGGUUUUGGCUCCGGCUGUGGCUUGGGCUCUGGCUUUGGUUCUGGGUGUGGUUUGGGUUCUGGUUUGGGAUCCGGUUUAGGCUCUGGAUAUGGUUUGGGCUCUGGUUUUGGUUCAGGCUUUGGCUCAGGCUUCGGUUCAGGCUCUGGUUUUGGCUCUGGUUUUGGUUCAGGUUUUGGCUCUGGCUUUGGUUCUGGCUUGGGCUCAGGCUUAGGCUCAGGCUUAGGGUGUGGCUUGGGCUCAGGCUUUGGCUUUGGCUCUGGCUUUGGCUCUGGUUUUGGUUCAGGUUUUGGCUCCGGCUUUGGUUCUGGCUUUGGCUCAGGCUUAGGCUCAGGCUUUGGUUCAGGCUUAGGCUUAGGCUCAGGGUAUGGCUUGGGCUCAGGCUUUGGCUUUGGCUCUGGCUUUGGCUUUGGUUUUGGUUCAGGUUUUGGCUCCGGCUUUGGUUCUGGCUUUGGCUCAGGCUUAGGCUCAGGCUUUGGUUCAGGCUCAGGGUGUGGCUUGGGCUCAGGCUUAGGUUCAGGCUUAGGCUCAGGCUCUGGGUGUGGCUUAGGCUCAGGUUUCGGAUCAGGCUUUGGUUCUGGGUGUGGUUUGGGCUCUGGCUUUGGUUUGGGCUCCGGUUUUGGUUCCGGCUUCGGUUCCGGUUUUGGCUCUGGCUUCGGCUCUGGGUACGGCUUUGGUUCUGGUUUUGGUUCUGGCUUAGGCUCAGGUUUAGGCUCCGGCUCAGGUUUUGGCUCUGGCUUCGGCUCCGGUUUUGGCUCUGGGUAUGGUUUAGGUUCAGGCUUAGGCUCAGGUUUUGGUUCUGGCUUUGGUUCCGGUUUAGGCUCAGGCUCAGGUACUGGUUUUGGCUCCGGCUCUGGCUUGGGCUCAGGUUUUGGCGUGGGUUUAGGAUGAGGCUUUGGCUUUGGCUUCGGCUCCGGCUCCGGCAGCUUCUCGUAUGUCACACGACCCUGCUUGCUCAUGAAGCGGGCGCCAUGGCCGAGCCCCCGGCCAGCAGCCGCCGCUUCAUCAAUGAAGGCGCUCGCCACCGCCAACGCCCCAAGCAGGAGCAUGGCGACGGCGAGGCAAGGAGAGCGCCUCGCCAUGGCUGGCUAGCUAAGCUCCUCCUCUUCCCUUGUCUUCUUCUCCCUCUCUCACUUCUGCUGUUGUACGUGGUAGAACUGAACUGUGAGCUUCUGUGAUCUUGUGCCAAUGGAUGGAAGGGUGGCUGGGGUUUUAUAGCCCGGGAAAGCCAGGCAUCUGUGGUCACGUGUCUCCAUGGCCCCCAGCUUUUGUGGUCUCGAGCUGCUUGCCAGCUCUCACCCAGUAUCCUGCCUGGCUGCUUCCCCUUUCCAAAUCUGACUUUUUUUUUUUACCCUUCUUCACUUUUUACCAACUGCUAACCCUACUUUUUGCUAAUUAAUCAACACCUGUGCUGAUUAAUCAAUCGAUUAUACUUUGCUAUACUUCAAUGUGUGACUGGGCAACUAGAGCUUUCUUGGAAGUUGGAAAAACAUGAAUAUUUCAGACAACUUUUGUUAGAAACGGAAAUACCAGUAGUAGAAGUAAUUCGUACGAAAACCAAGAGUAAAAUUCUUGAGCCAUCAUGGCAAUGGCGAUUGGCGGAGCCCGCAAGGCAAACAGUGUAAAUAGAUGCAGCAGAAGCUAAGCAUUGCAAUUUGCAAGAGCAGGAGAUGAAUGGCAGCAAUGGCGACUGAACAGCAAGAAGGGGACAGCAGCCAGAAACACACAUUAACGUGGGUGAAAGCGUCCCAUAUUCCCUUGAAAAUUGCAUCCAACUCAACACAUUACUAGAUUACCCGCGUUUCACGUUGCAUUCGAUCUCUCUGUCUCUGCUACAACGUCGCUCUCUCGCCGAUCUCUCAAUAUACACGGGGUAGCUAGCUAGGAGCUAACCGGCUGCUGUGUUCAGACCGGCCACUGUGUUUAAUUGCCGUGAUGCUUCAACGAAGUUGACGAAACUGGCACGGGGUUGGAAGGAUUUGAAAGCUAAAUUUGUGGUAGAUUUGUAAGACAGAUGGGUAGAUAGAUAGAUUAUGAUCGCUAUCGAUCUGCGAGGUCGAGUAAACUGAACUUAAUUUGCUGAUUUUUCAAUUCUUUGACGCCCUCGGCUCUGCGACGACAGAUAAUUCAAGGUCCCGUACGUCAAGCUAUUUUACUGGUUUCUAGUUUCUAGAAAUAUUACUGGUCCUGGUCUGUUGAAAACUUGAAGUACACGUACAUAUCAACAUAUGUACACGGUACACCUGUAUUGCUGAUGAUUUUGUUGCUGUAUGUGCCGACCUUCUGGAAUACUACCUUCAUUUAUUGAAUUAACCAACGGUCAUACUUCCUCCGUUUCACAAUUCCAUAUACAUAUUGAUGUUAAUGAAUCUAGAUAUAUAUAUAUAUCUAUCUAGAUUCAUUAAUAUCAAUAUGAAUGUGGGAAAUGCUAGAAUAAUUUACAUUGUGAAAUGGAGGGAGUAUAUUAUUGAUAAGGGUAAUAUGGAUUUUACCUUGAGAGCAUGUACACGUAAGGGCGAACAUCUACACAACGUCCAAUGUACGAGUUUGGUCGUCAUUAAAACUAGCAAGGUAACUAGCCUGUGUAUUUACGCGGGUAUGUAUCGUAGUUUGUAUUUGAAAGACUUGUAAGUACUAUUUCUCCACAAAUUUUCUUCAUGCACACUGCUUAAAUAAGUUUUUCAAACUAUUAGUUUGCUCUAAACUAUAAUCGUCUUCAUUACCUAGAAAGAAGGUAGACUUAGAUUAUUUAGAGAACAUGUCAAUUAAGUGUAAAUUAAAAGUAAGAUAUUUUUUAAUUAAAUGUUUAGGUGCUCUCUUUUUUAACAAUUUAAAAAACUAUUAUUUCUAAUAAAUGUGUUUUAUUUGUACAUGCAAGCCUGCCUUCUAAUUGGUUCAUAUUGACGGUUACAUAUGAAUUACUAAAUAUAGAGGAUAUAUCCUAGACCUUGUUUUCCUAUGAUAUGCAUGAUCUACGGUGUGUGUGCGUUUUCAAAAAAAAAAAGCUAGUCAGCAUGAGUUCUGUAAUUAAAAUUUAGGAGUAACAAAUAUAACAUUAAGCCCACUAUAUAAUGCUACCUUAAUGUAGCUUAUAUAUGCAAUAAUGUGUGGAGAAACUCAUAAUUCCACGGUACAGGAUAAGUGGAAGUCCGUAUCAUAUCUAAGCAUUAUUUAAAAAUGGUUAUGGCAAUUAAAAGCCAAUGGUUGUUCCAAUUUAAGUCAAAAGUAAGAAUCAUUUCUUACGAAUUUAAUAGAUUUUUCUCCGAAUGGCUCAAGCUAGUCCCUAUUGCCAGAUUGUAAUUUAUGUUUUAUUUUAUACAAAUUUUAAGUUCAAAAUAUAGGCAUUACGAAACUUAAAUUGUUGGUUUAUUUAUGAAUAGAGCAACAAUUCGAUUAAAAAUCAGAUGUGCAGCUUAAAAUCAUGGUCGUUUUAAUGUUAUUGAUUGUUUCUCUUUUAGUUUGAUAAGUACAUAGAGGGGGAGAAGAAUGGAUGGUGGAGAGCCUAAGUCGAGAGGAGAGGAGAGGAGAGGAGAGGGGGUGGGCAGUGCUGUGUGUAUUCGAGGGGAAGGGCAAGGUAGAGGGGAAAUUGUUUUUCUCAUUUUACUAAAUGGUUUAAGUGAAAACCGAUGAUAAUAUGGUUUUUUUCACAAAAUUUCAAAGACUUUUUAUAAUUUUUAUGACGUGACAUAUGGCAACAAAAGAUUUUUCUAAAAGUAUACCUAAUGGUUAGAAAUAAUUGAUCUAUCGAUUUGAUUAGAAACCAAUAGUCACAUGUUAAUUUCCUCAUAAUUUCUGAGAGAUUUUAUAAUUUUUUAGACGCAACACAUGGUGACUUAGAGAGUUAUAGAGGAUGUAGAUUGAUUUAAUAUGAUGUACUAUUUAUUGUCAAUUUUUUUAUAGUGAUUCAUUGCUGUUGUUAUUUGGUCGCCACACAACGAAUAGAACUUGAUGUUCCAAAAACAUAUGUAAAUUUUUAUUCAAUACAAUUUGAGCAAUAUUCAUCUUGAAAUUUUUAUUUAAUUAUAAAACAACAGUUCAAAACAAACUAAAAAUUGAAUAUAACUUAAGAACUAUUAUCAUUUAGCAUUGCAUUCAUUGAUUAUUUUUAUAUUAACAUGUUAGUUAAAAAGUAGGAGAGGAAGGGAUAUCCUGAUGGGAGAGGCCACAUGCGCAUAUAAUGGAGGAUGGGGAACAUACAAUAGUGGUAUGGAACGAGUGAGGAUGAGAGUUUGUUUUCUUUAAGAAUACAAUGGUUAGUAAGAUCUAAUGUUAUAAAAUAAUACGUCCAUCACAUUAGGUGAAAUUUGCUAAAAUUCUAUUACAAUUAUAUAUGUUUUGUGCUUUUGUACAAACUGAUUGUGUUUUAGUUCCUAUUAAUUACUUUACUAACUGAAAUUAGCAUUAACAACUCUAUUGAUUGAUUAAGAUCUAUCCUUUUUUUUUUACUUCUGUGUUCCUACAAUAUAUUCAGUGUAGAUAUUAAAAAUAUGAGGACACAAAAGUAUAAACGUAGUUUUCAUGAAAAAUCUGAUAAUAUUAUUGUGACUUAUCAUAAUUUAAGAAUGGGGAGAGCAAUUUUUAAGAACAACAAUCACAGUUUUGCUUAUUUUAAUGUUAUAUAGUUGUAGAUAUAAUUUAAUUAUUAUGAAGUUAUGUACGAUAGUAAAUUCUACAUUAUUAGUUUUUUCAUAUGUUUUUUAAUAGCAUGAAAAAUAAAAAAAACCCAAAAAUGACAUAUUCCUUUUGACGGUUGAAAUAGGGUAAAUAUGGGUCUUUAAAUGUAAGUUUGUUUUCAUAAUUUUUUUAAUGGCAUGUAAAAUAAAAGAGUAAAUUGCACCCACAAUGCAACAACUUGGCAGGUGGGUGCGAUAUAGUGCAAGAAAUUGAGAAUUGAACGUCUGAGUACAACAACUUGACAAGUGGGUGUGUUCUAAUACAAGAAUAUAAUAAUUUAUUAUUUUGGUGUAUCAACUUGGCUAAGCAUAUGCUAGGUGAGUUUUUUUUAAUCAUAUGGAUAUUACCUUAUAAUAUUGAAUUUAAUUUUUAAGAAUUAUACAGCACAUAAUAGUAUAAUUUACAUCCAAUUACCAUUAAGAAUUUUUUGUUGUCUUCACCUUCUCAAAUAUCAACCGAAAUAUAAUAAUUUUUAUAUCCAAUUUAAUUGGCUUUCAGUUAUUAGUUAUUAGGAUAAAAAUAUAAAUAUACUUUUACAAAUAUGUGCUAGUAUAUUGUCAAAAUUAGUACUUAAAAAUUGAAUUUAUAUAAAAAAUACUCCGAAUAAUUAAGUUGCCGCAUAACCUUUUAAUUUAUUGUAUCAAAAUCAUACCUACCUUGCAAAUUAUUGCAUUUAUACGAUCACUGAUAAAGUUCUUAUACUAAAUUGCACCUACAUGCCAAGUUGUUGCACUAGAACACUCAUUUCUCAAGUUAUUGCAUCAAAUUGUACCCACAUGUCAAGUUGAUGCAUCGUGAAUGCAAUUUACUCAAAAUAAAAACUAUAAACCAAAGUGACAUAUUUAUUUAAAAGUUAAAAUAUAGUAAAUAUAUAUAGGUCUUUAAAUGUAAAUUUUGUCAUAAAUAAUCUAUCAAAAUAUGAGUUACCUUUAUGAUUUACAUGUUAUAGCUAUUUAAUUUUUUUAUUAGAAAUCAUGUUUCCUAAUUAAUGUAGCAUCAAUAUAGGGGAGAGAAACAGAAAGAUGGGCGAGGUGUGUAUGUCCAUUACAUAUUCAUCCACACACGGGUCGGCCGGGGUUGGGCCGUGGGGGUUAGGAGGUGGCUAUUUAUUUUUCUAAUCAAACAUAAUUUAAAUGGUUAAAAGUAAUGGGUCCAUCAAAUUAAAUGAAAGCUAAUGGUUUAGAUUAUUUUUAAGAAGUUCUCUAAUUUAUUAGAGUGUCAUGUGGCAUAUUGGAAACGUUUACGGGGGUGUCACGUGACGUCUUAGGAGGUUUUAUAGGAUGUUUGAUGAAUUUUUACUAUAUAAUAGAUAGAUAGAUUCAUAGGUACAAUGAAAAUUGAUUGUUUUUCCGGGGAGUGAAGAUCUGCAUAUGAAAAUUAAUUUUUGCUGUGAGUGUGGACCUGUAUGUGAAAAUCGAUUACAGUCGAUCCACACGUGAAAAUUGAUUUUGGGACAAUUUCCCUACAAUUAACAUAUGUUAGUGCACCAUAAUAUUAUUAUGCAAUAGUAGAUGUUAAAAACCAAAGUCAACUCUUGUCUCUCCUCCCCCUUUUAAUUUGUCUCCCAUUAUCAAAAUGUUACUAGCUAGCUGACAGCAUUAUGCAUGGGCCAUCAUAUUAUUGAUUGUUCCAAAUACCCAGAUGCGUACGUUUUUUUAAUGGAAAAAUCUAUACUCCACGUACUAAAUUAUUUUGUACUAGCACUAGUACUAAUGUGCUACGCCGUAACUACAUCUACAUUUAAUUUCUAUAUGUAGCAGCAAACUCAUGUAAUUAGGUGUGUUUAGUUCGAAAAAGAAAAUUUUUGAGUGCCACAUCGAAUGUUUGAUCGAAUAGGGGAAGUGGUUUUCGGAUACGAAUAAAAAAACUAAUUUCAUAACUCAUCUGGAAACCGCGAGACAAAUCUUUUGAGCAUAAUUAAUCCAUCAUUAGUAUAUGUGGGUUACUGUAGCACUUAUAUAUGGCUAACUAUUGACUAAUUAGGCUCAAAAGAUUCGUCUCACGAUUUCUCCCCUAACUGUGCAAUUAGUUUUUUUAUAAUUUUAUAUUUAAUACUCUAUACAUGUGUUCAAAGAUUCGAUAUGAUAUUUUUUGAAAAAAAAAAUUUGAGAACUGAACCAGACCUUAACAUCCCGUGGGUGUAAAAUUCAGGCUGCUUGGAUGCCAAGUCGAUCGAGCAGCAGCGUAGGCUCCAAAACUGCGCAUGAGUACUAUUUUUUUUAACAAAUAUGUGCUCGGCAGAACAUAAUUUCGAGCGCAUAUCAGGAAUUCCAAGGAGGAGAAAACUUCUACUAUCUCCAUCUUAAAAUGUACUUCCUCCGUCUCAAAAAAAAAACUUAACAUCAUACUACGACGUGACACAUAUAUCACAUCCUAAUAUUAUAUUGUUUUUUUAGCACGGAGAAAGUUACUAUCAGUAUAGGAUGUGAUAUUACAUGGUGCUACGAAUUGGUGCAGGGCAGCAGCAGAGGGUUGGAUUGACGCACCGACGCGAGCGGCCGAUAUCAUCUGUGCUGCACGGGGUCGUACACGCACUGAACGACACGACUACUAGUGGACCACCGGACUGCCUGCAUGCCGCGCCGCGGGCUCCACUCCACCAGUAGUCCACUGAAUGCCCACAGGACUAACAGCUAGCUAGACACUGCAGUACUUGUGAGCCAAGCCAUGUGAAGUGAUGAUCGAUGUGAACGGAGAUGCCUAUGCCGAUGGGAUCGACGUAAGUGUAGUAUAGGGAGGUGAAAACGGGUCGGAUUCGGUCGGAUCCCAUCUUUCUUAUAUCCUAACCCAUAUUUUAUAAUCGGAAUCGGGUUGGACACGGAUAGUGCCGAAUAAGGAUACAAACUCAGAUAAUGUCGAGCAAAAAUACAGAAUGAACACUAUCGGUUACGAAUAUUUAUUCGGAUAUCAAGUCGAAGACAACAAUCUUAUAUAUCACAUAGACAAUAACCAUUUAACAAUACCAUAUAUCCAUAAUACAAUUAUAUUAAGCUAUUAGGAUCUUAGAAAAUAAAUAGGGUACAAUACAUCGUAGUAGAACCAAUACAUAGUACUAAAAGUUACCUCACAAAAACAUAAUACGGGUAAUAUCUGUAUAAUUAUCCGGGUAAUACUCGGAACUUUUACUGGAUAAUCCGUAUCCGUCGGAUACUACGUUUCCGAACCCGAUCUCGUAUCCGCCAAAAAAGGCCCGUAUUCGGACCCGAUAUCCGAAAUUUCGAUCCGAAUUUAUCCCGAAAUAAUGUGGCCGGGCGGGCGGGAGGGAAAUACCCGUCCCGUUUUCACCCCUACGUAGUACGUGCACAGGCGCAACAGUCAUCGGCACCGGGUCGACCUCAAUGUUUAGGCCCUGUUUAGAUCCCUAGCAAAAUUUUACACCCUGUCACAUCGAAUGUUUGGACACAUGCAUGAAGUAUUAAAUAUAAACGAAAAAAAUAACUAAUUACACAGAUUGUGUGUAAAUUGCGAGACGAAUCUUUUAAGUCGAUUUGAUAAUAUGGUGCUACAGUAAACAUUUGUUAAUGACAGAUUAAUUAGGCUUAAUAAAUUCGUCUCGCGGUUUACAGGCGGAAUCUCUAAUUUGUUUUGUUAUUAGACUACGUUUAAUACUUCAAAUGUGUGUUUUAAUAUAUCCAAUGUGACACGCCAAAACUUUACACCCCUGGAUCUGGACACAGCCUUAGGGUUUAAUUUGUUUGGAGAUUUUUUUUCAUAGAUGUAGCUUCUUCCAAAAUUAAAGUCAUCCACAAACAUUCUAUUUUUCCGUUAAAAUUUAAAAAGUUGUAGAACUUAUAAAAUGUAUUAGAAAACCACAGCCUAAAAAGCCCAGGCCAGCUUCUUCAUAGGGUGUGUUUAGUUCACACCAAAAUUAAAAAUUUGGUUGAAAUUGGAACGAUGUGACGGAAAAGUUGAAAGUUUGAGUGUGUGGGAAAGUUUUGAUGUGAUGAAAAAGUUAAAAAUUUAAAGAAAAAUUUUGAAACUAAACACGGUCAUGAUCGAAGAAGCUGGGUACCAACCAGGCAAUAGACCUUAGCUACAUGGGCACGGGACGAGGCGCGGAUUGAUGGAGAAGCUAUAGCUAGCUAGCCCCCACACUACGUACCCCACAGCCACGCGCGACGGUCGGCCAGCCGAUCGAUCGCAACCUAUCUGUCUAUCUAUCUCGCCAAAACGCGUGCGUGCACUAGUGCCCGCUCUGCAGCAAUUGCCUCAUGAACCCUCUCCAAGACUCGAACGAUCCAUCCAUCGUUCUAUCGCAGGCAGAUGAGGGUGGAUGUGUGUGCAGGCAGGCCGGGGCGGGUGGAGGGUCACCGCGACGUACGUAUGGCGACCGCUUCCCCGCGGCCGCGCGCGCACGCACGGCGGCUGGCGUGUGCAUGCACAAGAGUCCAUCCGUAGGCCUACCAGCCGGGUACCUAACAUGCAUGCAUGUAAUCUAGUUACGUUCCGCGUAUAUAACAUAUUCUAAUACUACUACGAAUUAUGACAUUCGGAUUAUAGUAUUAUGGCUGUGUACGUUUAGUUCACGCUAAAAUUGAAAGUUUGGUUGAAAUUAGAACGAUGCGACGGAAAAGUUAGAAGUUUGUGUGUGUAGAAAAGUUUCGAUGUGAUGGAAAAAUUAAAAAUUUGAAGAAAAACUUUAAAACUAAACACACAAACUUCUAAUUUUUCCAUCGUACCAUUCCAAUUUCAACCAAACUUCCAAUUUUAACAACACACCCUCAGUACGUUUAGUACGUGCUACUCAGAUAAGGCCAAUGAGAGCCGCACAUAGCGUGACAUAUGUGCGAUAUACAUCCGCCAACCGGAUACGUAUAAAGUCUGAAGUUGAUCGAUGGAAAUAUGGAAUCGACGUAGGGAUAAGAUAGAGGGGUACAGCUAGUGCUGCAGGCAGAAAAUCACAACCAGAGAAAGGGAAGGGAAAGGGUUCAUCCAAAAUUUUGUAUUUCAUAUGUUUAGUCAUAUUCAGUUAUUCAGUUAGGUACUACUGUUUCAUUUAUUGUAUUACGACUCUCUCGAGCUAGCCUAAUAUAUAUCUCGACGACGGUUCGCAUUAUAUAAGAAAUUAAAGACGAUUGAAAAAAAAAAGGAAUUGAGAGCUAUGACAACUAGCCAAAUCUUAAGUGAAAACAAAACACAGGAAUCCAUGUAGAGAUAAGUAAGAGUACAAAUGCAGUGAGAAAGUUACAAUAAGAGAGAGAUGGUUCAGCCAAAAUUUUUGUCUCGAAUUGCAUAUGUUUAGUCAUAUUCAAUCACACAAUGUUUUAUUAUAUCACGACUCUCUCUAGAUAGCCAAAAUUGGUGGAGGAUAGUUGUGAUCGGUUAUAAGAGAUGAGAAAGUUGGAGAAAUUAAUAAGAGAUGGCUGAGAUAAGGGGUAUAUAUAUAGAAGUGGUUAUAUAUUGGGACAUAAUUAUAAUUAAUGCUAAAUGUAGUUAUAUUAUGAAAGGGAGGUGAUAAGAAAUUAAUUAAUGGCUCCUUUCAAACACAAGAUUGCAAAAAUUACAGAAAUAGGAACAAUAAAGGAAUUAAGCAUCAUAUAUAUAUAGCUAGCCGAAUCUCACAUAAAAAAAACAUGUAUGAGAAUUUGGUAAAGAGGAUUUUGGUUGCUCCAGAGAAAAAUGUAAAAGAUGGGCUUUCAUCAAAUGUUUUGGGAUCGAUGGAAAACAAAUCAUGUAGUGAUUUUGGAACACAUUCCUACAAUACAAAUGACUUUACAGGGAAUAUUCUCAUAGGACUUCAAUCCUUCAAAAUUCAUGAAAAAAAUUCUCAAGUGGUGUUUGAUAAAUUAUAUAUAUUAUAUGCUUACAACAGAGCAUGUAUAUAUGUAAUUACUACUAGUUUGCCUUGCUUUCGUUUAUUGUGCUCCAAAUUAUUUAAUUUGUCAUGCAAUGCCUAGAUUACAAGUGGCACACAUUAAUUUCCACCAAGUCUUGGGAAACAUAUCAUGUAGAUUAUCGUCAUUAUAUGUGUUGCUGAUGUCGGUGUAUGGGUGGUGGUUAUUUUUUCUUUUUUGCCAGAAUUUUUUUCCCUGUUCCCUAUGUAUUAUGGAUUUGAGGUUGAAAUUGUACCCAACUUACCAAGUUGAUAUACUAGAAGGCUCAUUUAUCAAGUUCUUGCACCAGAACUAUUAAUUUUAAAUAAUAAGUAGUAUUUAAAUGUAUGUUAAGUUGGUACAUAGACCACAUUAUGAUUUUUUUUUAAAAAAAAGAACAUAGUACAAACAUAGGCGUUCAAACGUGCAUGCACCCAUCCCUAUAAACGCACGCAUGCACACCCUACUCCUAUGAGCACUUCUGAAAGACUGAGCCGAUAUAUCUUGAGAUUGACAAAGUCAUCACGGAUGUCUUGCUUUUCACAAGUAUGUCGCGUACCAGCAAAAGAAUAAUUAGCCGUGUGCACAUGUGGUGGGUUAGUUACACCGCAAGAAACCUAAUCAGUUGUUUCUAAAAAGAAAGAAAUAUAAUCAAAUGAGUUACGCUCACUUCGCACAUUAUGUUACAUUUGUACUCAAAAGUAUAGGGAGUAUAUAUUAUCAAUAGGUUAAUUAAAUUAUGUACCAGAAUCAUUUAGUCUAUUAUUUUUUAAAAAAAACAAAUCCUCCCUACAUAGUGCCCAAAAUUAAAUGCCCGAAAAUGAGAUAUACAUACACAUAGGCAUCAAGCUAUAAAAAUGGCACGUUUUUCCUGCGAGGUGUUUCAGGGAUUUAUUAAUAUCAUAUUGGUGACAGUUUAGCAGACGGUACUGAAUAAUCUCCCCAUUAAUCCCCCGAUGCCCCCACACGUCACUGGUCGGUUACUAGGUGUCGCCACAAGUAAAUUAAAGCGCAAGAUCGAUCGAGCUCAUCUCUUCAGACUAGAUCCACAAAUUAAAGGCGAGAAAGAGGGAAAAAAAAGAUUAGAGAUUGGAUCGAUGGAUGGAGAGAUGGCAUCUGCCAGCCAGAGGCCAUCGUUGUCGCUCGCUUUUUCACGCUGUGAUGAGGACAAUCCUGCAAUACCUCCGGCUUUUUGGCUUGCAAACUUCGCACAAAUCUUCCAUGGCCUCCUUCCGCGGACACGGACAGCGACCUCCCAUCCGCUGCCCUCUGCAUGUGUACAAUUCAUUCGCGUUGCGUUUCUUGCCAAUCUGGAUCUCUCUCUUUCACCUGUAUUCUCUCUCGAUCUUGUUCUUGUUAUACAUGCGUUUGCGUGUGGCGACCGGCGAGUGAUGAUUCGAUCGAGCUGCUUGUGAGCUACAUUUUGUUCCUAUAUGCUGUUGUUGUUGCCAUGUUACUCCAGUUUAAUUGAUUUAAUUAAUUGUGAUUCUCUUUUGUGUAUGGCUGCCGCUAAUUAUUCUGGCCCACAUCUCAGGGUAGCUAUAGGCCACGUAAUGAUGGAAUUGAGGUGUAGCAGGAUUAAGGAAAAUCUUGAAAAGCAAUAUUUUACAUAAGCUGUUACAUUUGUGAUAGGAUUUUUUUUUUGGUUGGUAGCAUAUAUUGCAAAUUUAUUUAUUUAUUUGUAGCAAGGUGAUCAUCUUAGAUAGAUGCAGGGCACUGGAUUAAUUGAAUGUAGCCGUGUAGAUUGUCUUUCUUUGAGAUAUGGUUCGCUAUCAGCUGUUCACACAUAGCUCAUGCGUCAGUGUCAAAUUAAGAGUAAUCACUGUACUAGCAUAAAUGAAAAGAAAGAGCAACAUUUUCUGUUACAAUAUAGUCAAUUAAUUCGUCCUACAUGUACUCUUCCCGCCAAUUGCGAGCAGCGGAGUAAAAUGUUCUGUUGGCACCAUAUUCCCCUCUCAUCCUCAUUUCCUUCAAAUUAAGUCGCUCUCGCGAAGUCAUUUUACGUCAAAAUUUUAUAUGAAUUUUCAAAUAAUUAAAUUAAUUCAUGUAAAAAUUCUUCAAAACUCUUUUAGUUCAAAGGAGACCCCAAUUGGUGUGGAUUAACUCUAAAGUUAGCUGAGUUGAAGAGUCCAGCAGUUUAGCUUUUUGGGUUUUUCUUUGGUUCCGUCAAUAUUCUACCUGAAAGUAUUCGCUCAAAAAAAAUAUUCUGCCAGAAAUUGUUUACACACAUAUGGUGCACAUUCAUGAUUUUUUUCAUCCUAGAUUUACUGUUAAACCCUGAUAAGACUCUGAAAUGUUCAUAUAGUUAAUAUGAAGAUGAAGAGAUCAACCUAGCUAGUACAUACACAUCUUUCUUUUGACUGUAAAGAUUACAAGCAUCGUCAUAUAUUCUCUCGGGAAGUUAUUCCACUAUUGAAUAUAUUGAUCUGUUCUAAAAUAAAAAGAUUAUUCCACCAUUGUUCUAUUAGCUGGAUACUUCUCGGUACAAAGACUGGAUGAUUGAUUUCUAUUAUCGAAAAAAUUAUUAUCCUAGCCCACACAAGGGCUUCCAAAUCGUAGGAAAACUGGCCCUGAAUCCAUGAUGAGAUAUUCGGUACACGCAACUAAACCAAAUCCUAUAUACUUAUCUAGUUCAUCCCCACUAAGUGUAGUUAUCGCUAUUUCUCUCUUCUCUCAAUAAGCCACAUCACCUCAAUUAUUUUUAACCAUUGGAUGAUAGAUCCAUAGUUCAAAUUGUCUCUUCUUUCUUCUCUAAUAACACCAUGCAAUCUCAAUUAUUUAUAGGCUCAAAAUUCAUAUGUAUAUCAAUUUGUUUUAAUUUUAAUAAUCAUAUUUCAUCAUAUUUGUACAUAUUAUGUAAUUUAAUUUCCCGCAGCAACGUGGCGGGGUAUUCAUCUAGUUAAAAAGAAGAAUCAUGAGUGAGUAGGUGCAAAAUGUGCAGCGAAGAAAAUAGUCGCAAAGCUUUAAUUAGGGUAAGGUUGCUAAAUAAUAUUUCAGUGAUAAAGACAUGGUUGGGGAAAUAUCCUCUAGAGGAUAUCAGUACUAAUAAAGGGGCCUAAAAGAGUUCCAACCUAAUUAACUAAAAUGAAGCACAAUAACGAACGAAAUAAAUUAAUUGCUUUCAGAAACAUAAUUGGAUGAGGUGUACCAUCUCGUCUCUAUAGAAGGUUCAAAGUGUACCAUCAUCAGGGCCAUACUUUGGAUUUUGGAUGAGAUAGAGAGAAAGAUAAUGGACAAGGAAAAACCACCUGCAGGCUGCAGUUGCCAUGGAAAGUUGUAAACCAUAGUUAUUAGUUAAAUAAAAAGAAUCAUAAUCACAACCAGUUCGCAUGUAAACCAUAGUAAAGAGGAAAAUAAUAAUAGGCAUGUAGUUGCAGUGAAAAUAAUAGCAAAAUGUUCCAUGUUACUGUCAUACUACCUAGGAUUUUCGAUGAGUUGGAGAGAGAUGAUAAACAAGAAACCAUGACCUGCAGUUGCCAUGUAAUAACCUUUAUAAACCAUAGUCAAAUAAAUUAAAGAAUAACAAGCCCAACCAGUGCAUGUAAACCAUAGUUAAAGAAAAGAACAAUGAGAGAGCGUGUAGGUGCAAAAAGUGCGGUGAAAAUAGUAGCAAAAUGUUCAGGGUCACAGGUGACAGAGACAGAGGACCGAAGAGCUGAUACAACAAAUGAGAGGGAUAAAAGACAUCUAAUCCAAUUAGUUGAGGAAGGGAACGUAUCGAAGGAAACAAAUCGCUCUGGCAGAGACAGCAGUACCAAUGCAAAUAGAUGGACGCGUGAAACUGAACAAAAAUAAUAAGAAGAACUCAACAGCUGCUGGGCUGGGGCGUGCGUAAUACAUACGUCAUGCAUUUCGUCACGGCAGUUAAAUUUUAACUGGCGUAAAACAUAUCAGCUUCAUAAUUUUGGACCACAUAUGGAUAUGGAAGUGUCUAAACGAGUUAGCUACUCAAGUGCCGGUUAAUUUGUUUGUGAUAAAACUGUAUUCAUUGAGACGGAUGAAUUGGAAUGUAACAGUUUCAAAACGAUCAUUGAAGAUAUGAAGUGAGCGUAGUUCCUCAUCACGGAAGAAUCUAAAUUUUACACUUUACACGGAUAUUCACAUUUACGGCCACAUUCUUUUAGUGAUAAACCAUCAUCAACAAUACACUUGUAGUGAUUUUUUUUAAUCUUAAGAUAUGAUUGUCUAGUUUUUUAGAAAUGCUCGCAAAGAUGGGGUAUAUACAUUUAUAAGUGAGCACUCUAUUAGAUAAAAAAGGGACCCUAGAUGAUGCUCAAUUUGCUCACUAAUACUAGGAAAGAAAGUACUGGUCAAUUGGACUGCUCCAGAGAAAGUCCUGUACGAUUUGGUCACGCAAAGGCUUCGUUCGACAAUGCUGAUUGUCCGGGCCUUUUCAAAUUCAGCCUAACUAGGACUGUUUUUGGAGCAAUCCAAAUGAUCAGUGACUUUCUUUCCUGUUAAACAAAAAAUGGGUACGGUUUCGAAAAGAUCUGAAGUUCUGAACCGCCCUACGGGAAACAACACACUCUAGGAUUUCAAGUUUUCAACCCAUAAUUCUAGAAUUCGAAUAGGGAAUUUCAGUUCAUAAGGCUCAGGCAGAUAGGAAGCAACGACAUUCCGCACUCUGCAAGUCCGAAACAUAGGAAUACAGCUACAACUUUGCAACGUUACGGUAGGUAAUGGCACGGUUGACGAUAAGACAAGAACAAUUUAAAGUUGGCAUUCUUCAAACCAGAACAUGCCAUGACAAGUGGAUGCGAUAGUUAGCACCUAGAGUACUUUUUAGCGAGGAUUUAACUCAUGUCAACAAUGUAUCAAAAAAGGAUGGCACAAAAAUUUAUCAUUACUAUCCAUCACCAACAGCGCGUCCCACUGUAACUCAAAGGAGAGCUUCAGCCCUGAUGAUAGCAGGUUCAGUCAAAUUGUACUUUAUCCAGCUGCGUAAUCAUCUCCUCAAACUGCAAAGUAUGACAAAGAAAUGAUACAUUAUAUAGGGUAUAAAUGAGAAAACUACAAGUGCAUCCAACGAAAUGAUGUCGCAUGUGUGACCAAGUAAACAUGGUAAGCUGUAAAAAGAUCUACAGGUACCUUCAAAAUCUGUCUCAAAAAGUAAUCACCAUGGUUCUUGGUUAACUUGGAUUCAACAACAUGAAUAAUGUCCUGUGUGGAUACAAAAAGAUUUGGUGAGUCAAAUAGAAUAGUCAUUUGUAAUAAGUCACAUCACUCCAUUUGUAAGGUAACACGUCUAAAGUUCCAUACUAGGAAGUGUGGGAAAAAAAAACACGGACUUCAUGUCAUUCAUGCAGUAUUUCAGCCACUGAUAAUCAUUACACUAGUCAAAUUCAUAACCCCAGGUACAGAAAGUUUUGAGUUCAAAAGCAUACACAAGGAAUUUAUAUUUUCACUAAAAGCACAAAUCAUGGAGAUAAUAUUUCAUGAACAUGUAAAACAAAAAUUAUAUUCUCCAAGCAUUUAAUCGCCAUCAGGAAAUCUAAACAAUAAUAGCGCUUGAAGCGCAGAAGGUUUCAAAUUAAAAAGCACACACAAAAAAGUUAUCAUAAAAACACAAAGCAAGGAGAUAAUGUUUCAAGAAUACGUUAAAAUGAACACUAUUUUCUCCAAGCAUUUAGUCAUCAACAGGAGAUCUAAACAGUAUGGGUGAGUCUGGUUCCCUGUAUGCUGGAUGACCUGUCUGGACACACCAAGCCUGCCUCAGAUGGACUGGUUUCCAACAUAGAUUUUGAUUUGUUUGGUCAGCUGAGUUUAUUUGGCCAGUCUACCACAGAAAUUGUUUGGUUUCAUGCAUAUGUCACUUCUCUCAUGGAACAUCUUGAGAGGACACUGCAUAUAGGCAGCUCUUUCUUGACUCAAGCAACCAGGCCAAUAAGAAAUGAUUCUGGAACUUGUUUCCUCAUGGCCAGGCUCCCACUACUUUUUGCGCACAGAGGGAUAGGUCCACUGACCUCUGCAGGAAACCAAACAAGUGGUUGCUGCAUGCACUAAGCCAAGACAAAGACGAUACGAGGAAUCAAACGAGCCAUAAUAGUGCUACUACCAAGCAAAUUUAUAGGAAAACAUAAGACAAACCAUUCUUUUUCUCACACAUGAAUGUGAGGAUCGGUACAAAUAAAUUCCAUAGUUAGCAAGGAGAUGACGUAAAAAUUAAUUAUCCUACCUCAUCAAUAUAGAAGUCAAAGUCUGCACUGGAUAUGACCUUUCCGUCACUGUCGAUUGAAUGCAUUUUGUGCUUGUAUGUCAUAAGAAUUGUCCUGCCAUCAUAUAACAAUUAUGUUAUCAUGAAUGAGAAAAGUCAAGUAUUAGCAGUAAAAUAUUAUAUUAAAAAUACACAGACCUUAGUGUAACCUCAUCCACAUCCAUGUAUUUGGCAAGUUUACCAAUUGUUAUCGUUGAAUACAACUUGAGAUAGCUUCGAAUACCAGAGAGCAACUGUUGUUGUUUCACUUCAUAAAGAAAUAGUUUCAACUGAAGACGAUAAGCAUCCUGUUGAAUGAUACAUAGUUAAAUAAUUUGGUGUGGAUACAAGAAAAAUAAAGCCUGCUUUUUGACAAGUGAAACUCACAAAAAAACUUGAAAUAAACAGUAUUAAAAUAAAAACUAUGUUUUCAUAACCAAGUGCAUGGUAGAACUGAACAAAAAGAAUAUCACUGAUACUGCAUUAUUGGAUUAUCAGAAUUUAGUAGUAAUGUCUGAGCAAGUAGAUACCCAAAGCAUAGGCGGGAUCUAGGGGGUGGUCCCGGGACCACCCAAGAAAAACCCUAGCCCAAUGCAUAUAUACAUAUGUGAAAAGAAACUUGUGGAAAAAGAAAAAAAAAUAACUCCAUUAUUAAUAUAUUGUGAUGUACAUUUAAUCCAUUUAUACUUCUAACCUUGUUAUAUAUAUAUAUAUAUAUAUAUAUAUAUAUAUAUAUAUAUAUAUAUAUAUAUAUAUAUAUAUAUAUAUAUAUAUAUAACUUGGACCACCCAUAUAAAAAUACUAGAUACGCCAUGGACCCAAAGAUGUGCAUUUCAGGUGUCACAUAAGAUGCUAAGUAAAGAUACUCAAAGUAACUGACAUGCAACUUCCGCAAAUUGUAAUGUUAAUGCAUAACAAGGGAAAUAGUAAAAUGAACCUCAACGUUCAGCUGCUCAAUUGUCAUUUCAACAAUAUAAGGCAGUAAGGCACAAACAAACAAUAAUUCAAAAAAAUAAAACUCCUACAUCACUUGAGAUAUUACAGACAAUUUGAUACACCUAGAAUGCUUUGGUCCUAGCCCAAUUAAGGGUGUAGUAUAGUUUCAAAAAAAGCAUAAAAAAGACCACCCCAAUCUUUACUUUAAGUAAUACCUGGUUGUAGUUUGUGUAUGGCUCUCGUAGAACUGGAGGCGACGCAGUAAUGAACUUGGGGCAGGCAUAGGAAAAGAGUUCAUCAUAAAUAGCAUAUGCCUCAUCAUCAUACCUAUGCAUCUUUGUCAUUUUGUCCCCAUACUUUUCCUUCAGCUGAGUGCCAACGUUUUCAUCUAUGAGCUUGUCCUGUGGACACAAUGAGAGGCAGAUCGCCAAUAGUGCAUACAUCUGCUCAUUCUUCUUAAGUAGCUGGUCAUACUGGGGGGAAUUCUGGUGGUAUUGCUUACACUUCAGGAUAUACAACAGAAUUUUGUUGAAUUCACGUAUACCAUCAAUAUACCUGAAAUCCAUCCAGAAAUAUGGUUUAUCAGAUAAAAGAAGUCAGACAGGACAAUUCAUGAUGGUGAACUAACUAGUAACAUGACUCCAUUCAUCCAUUAAGCAUUAGGUUCUCAUAUGGGACAGAAUAGCAUGCUUCACAGUAAAGUUUUUUUUUUUUUUUGGGUUCACAGUCAACAGGACUACCUAAAUGUUGGAAAAUCCAAAUUUUUGGUAAGGUUGCAAUAAGCAAUAACAAAUUUUGGUAACAAUCCAAAUGAACGAAUAACUCCGUUAGCAUUAUCAAUAUUAAGUAAGGCAAAUUUUGGCAUCAAAGAGAAAUGAUCCUAAGUACUUCAUCAGAGGUAAGUAGGGGAAGUGUCGGGCUUAGCUCAACCUUGGAUUCUUGGACCAUUAUUAAGUAGAGAACAGCAUAAGCACUAUUGACUACAAAAGGACUGCCCAGAAAGCUUUUGCCAUAUUCCAUAAGAUGAAAUGAUGUUAAACGGCAAUGUUACAUUUAGUUCACAUACGCAGAGCUUAAAAGUAGGAGUAAUAUACUAUAUAAUAGGACCACCUGCAAUUAUGGUAAACAUAAGCAAUUUAUAUAUAUAUAUAUAUAUAUAUAUAUAGGACACUCAUAUGGGGGCACCAUGGUUUCAAAUGCACAAAAUCACUCAAAUUUUUCAAAAUUUUCAAAUUGUGAGUAUAUACCUAGUUAUAAGAAUUCGAUUCAUACCUAUACCUAUCAACAAAACAACUCAAAUUUAACUUUAUUUCACAAUCCAUGAUUACAUACCUAACUAAUUAUAUGUAUGGAUGCUAUAUACCUAGAAUCAAAAUCUAACAAAAACAAGUUCAAAUUCAGUUCAAACUUGCUUUCAACUAGUUAGUAAAGUAGUUAAUAUUAAUACCUAAAUAAUUGAAAAAGUUUCAUGCUCAUUUGAAUUGGGUAUAUACUCAAUUUCAACAAUGGUGCCCGGGCACCAUGGAGCACCAAACAAAUUUACUAUAUAUAUAUAUAUAUAUAUAUAUAUAUAUAUAUAUAUAUAUAUAUAUAUAUAUAUAUAUAUAUAUAUAUAUAUAUAUUAAAAGAAGAGUUGAAAGAGUCAUUCUGAAGUGAUUGAAGAGGUACCAAAAAAAGUUCAAUUAUAUGGCACAGAAAGUGGACCAUCACUGGUUACCCAAAGGGGUGAGGGUACGCAUUUUAUAUCCCAUCAGCAGAAAACAAGUAUAGCAUGAUGCUAGACAAGUACACAUACAAGUAUCAAAAGAAGGAUAAUCAUUCAUACUGUACCAUACUGGGUAGGAAAGUAAAAGAUAACCCAGAAUUUAUAUAGCUGAAAUAUCACUAGAUACUCCAUCAAAUCCAAAAUAUAGGUCAUACUUGCCUUCUCAACUCUUCUCUCUAAAUGAGUCAUGUGAACAAGUCUCAAUUGACUUAUUUGGUUAGAGAAAGCAUAUGAUUUUUUUCAACAACAAAACUCUAGAUGUAGAACAAUAAACGAUAGAUAAAGAAAAUAGAAAUAAAGAUGGGAAACAGAGAUGCUCAGGCAAGUUAGCUUAACGCAUACCUGCGCAUCAUGAGGCUGGCAAACCCAUAGUGAUAAAUAGUGGAAAUGUGGCUUCCAAUCACAGUGGUGUAGACACCCUGCUGGCUUAUAUCUAUUGGAGCCAAGCACUUGAGCCCAGUAUGGUAAUCCCCAAGAAGGCAAUGCACCCUGAGCAGCCCAAUCAUGCUGUAGUACCCCAGCAUCUUCAACACAUUGCUCCCGCCCUCAUAGUCAUACCCAUCAGUUGCCGUGAACUGUUCAAGCCCUACCUUCUCCCUCUCCAGGAUCUCUCCAAUCAUUGACUUCUCCACCAGUGCUUUCAAGUAAUUAAGAACCCCAUAAACACUCCAUGCCUGUAAAAUUAUAAACAGAUUAAUUAUGACAGAGCUAUCAACAGAAAACUCAUACAUAAAACAAAGCUAAGCCAUCCAGAUCCAGGAUUCAUCAUACCGAGCACCCAACCUGAAUCUAACUCUGAUAAACGACCUCCACAGCACAUGUCAUUGAACAAACAGUGAAAUAAAUGAGGCUACUGCUAAAUAAACUCGUAAUGGAAAUUUAAUGUCAAUGCAAAUCUCAUAGCACAAGCAAGAGCAACCUCUUCCGCCUUAAUUACAAAUCACAAAGAAAAUUGAGACUAUCACUAACAUGUGCAAUCAAGAACCAGCUCUAUUAUAUUACUUCAUAAUAAAUACCAUAGUCCAAAUAAAUAACAGAAUUAACAAGCCUACCCUUCAUUAGGCAACACCAGCAUACCAAUGGAAACUCGUCGAAUCGCAACACGAUUCCUGAUUUACUCUGAACGAUGGACUAAUAAAAACUAAGGGAGAUUCAGAUUAUAGAGGACCUAUGCCACUAUACCAGUGGAAACUCAUACUGAUUUACUCUGAAUGAACGAUGGAUAUAAUAAUAGUAAAAACAAAAGGGAGAUUGAGAUGGUAGAUGAGAGGACCUGGUCGUACUGCUUGAGGAGGGCGAUCUCCUCGUGGGUCUUGUUCUUGAGCUUGGCGCGGUACUGGCAGAAGCUCUGGAACUGGUAGACGAACUCGUCGACCAUGUCCCAGAGCCACUGGUUGGGGAGCUGCAUGUUGACGACGCCCUGGAGGACGACGCUGAAGAGGGAGCAGUAGUUGUCCCACGACUCGGCGCGCUGCGCCGGGGUGAGGCCCUGGACGCGGGCGUGGGCGUGGCGGAACCAGAGCUCCCGGUAGAGGAGGAGGAAGACGUGGUCGCCGUCGCAGUGCGCCGCCACGGCCUCCGCCGGCGGCCACGGCGUGUCGCGGAAGUGGCGGUCGGAGAGGCGGGUGAACCCGCCCUCGUACAUCUGGUGCGUCUCGUACACGUUGCGGUCGCGGAUGUGGCGGUAGAGGUGCGACACGAACGUCUUCACCGAGUCCGGCACGUAGCUCGGGUCGUACGCCGCCAUGGCGCCGCCUCCCCCGGGGCCGGACGACGGCGGCGCCGCGUCCUCCCUGUCGCGGUAGAAGGCGGCGGCGGCGGAGGAGGCCAUAUGGCGAUCUAGGGUUUCGAGGUUUCGGGGGGUUUUUGCGUGAGCUGGUCGAGGAAUGGUGAUGACCAAGCCUAUCUCACUAUCUGGUCGGCCUGAAAGUGGGCCCAUCCACCUAAUGGGCCGGCCCAAUUUCGAACGGGCCGGUCCAAGCCCAACUCGAGCUGGCUAAAUUUAGAGAUUUAGGGUUAAAACGAUAAGGCUCCAUCCUCGCUAGUUGUGGCGAGCCCCAAAACCAACUCCCAAUCCGCAUCUCCCUCCGCUGCGCCGGCGCCGCCGCCCGCCGCCGCCGUGGCCCGGCCGUCGGCUCGCCUCCGCCUCCAUCCUCGGGCACCGGACGUCGUCCCCGCCGCCCGGAGGCCGACCCCUUUGCCUCCUUAGGCCUUCUGCCCUAGUUCCGGCGGCCUGGCUCUAAAUUCGGCCGCAGCCGGCGCAGGUCGAUCACCGCCCGCGCGCCAUUGGAAGCGGAGGUAAUCCCCCGCCCAGCUGCCAAGAUGAAUUGGCUCUUUAUUUAUUGAUAUGUGCUCCCGGCUGCCAAGAUGAAAUGUUUAUUUAUUGAUAAAUUUGAUAUGCUGAGUUGGGAAUUUUUGUAUGUGCUUGUGCACUGGAUCAGUUGAUCUGAUUGAAACUAAUGCUGAUUUUAGGUGGAGAAAGGAAGCUGGCAUUGGUGCGUGAUUGAAAUGCUGACCUGAUUUUUUUUAGUACAUUGAGGAUGUGCGUUCUCUGAACUUUUUACUGAAAUGACUGUUGCAUGAAAAAUAUGUGCUACAUUCUAUUUUUGUACAACACUCUAUAGACUGAACAUAUGCCAUUUUUUGUUAUAAAUUCAACAGUAGCGAUGGAUGGAGACAGUUGUUAUGUUAACUCACUGGUUGUUAAAAUCAACUCGCCAGAGUGGGAUGAUGGCACCAUGAUGGGGGCUAGUCCACCCGAGGAGCAACAUUCAACGGUCGAAGAAGUUGUUGUCGUGAGACGAAACCAGAAAAGAACAAAGAAUUUCAGCGGGAAGGAAGACGAAGGGUUGGUUUCGGCAUGGUUGAAUGUUAGUAAGGAUGUAGUCCAAGGCAUCGAACAAUCUCGUUGUGCAUACUGGAAGAGAAUUUACGAUUACUUCCACGCAAACAAGGACUUCACCUCAGACCGUUCUCAAAAUUCCCUCAUGCACCGCUGGUCUACUAUUCAAGAGAAUGUGACCAAGUUCGAGGGUUGUCUAAGCCGGAUUGGGGAUAGAAAGCAAAGCUGGGUUUCAAGUCAAGAUAAGGUUUGCUCAUAUGUCCUUAAAACUAGUUCCUCAUUUUUCAUAUAGUGACUAGACAUUUAAUAUGACAUUUUGAUAUGUGCAGAUUAUGCAUGCAUGUGCUCUGUACAAGGCCGAAGAUGAGAACCAUAGGCCAUUUCACAUGAUGCACUGUUGGAAUCUCUUGAGAAACCAGCAAAAAUGGAUUGAUAGGUCGUCUCAGCUGCCAUCUCACAAAAAACAGAAGAUAACCAACAAUUCAAGUCUAGGUAUGUCUACUACUACUACUGAUGAUACUGCGGCUGCUCCUCCUCCUCCUCCAGGAUUUGAGUUAUCGAAGACUCCAGAAAGUAUUAAUGCUCCUCCAAGAUGUGAGUUAUCUGAGAGACCAGAAAGUAGGAAUGCUCCUCCAAGAUGUGAGUUAUCUGAGAGACCAGAAAAUAGGAAGGGGGAGAAAGAAAAACUACGACGAGGUGGAGAUGUGGUCUUUGUGGAGGAUUUAGAUGAUUUGUUGGCAAAGAAGAAAGAGGCAGAUGUGGAGAAAGAGCUCAAGAAAGAUGAGAGAUAUAUACAAUCACAUGCCCUAGAGCAAGAGAAGGUUGCACUAGAACAAGCGAAGGUUGCAAACGAGACAAAAAAUCUUGAGAUGAGGAGCAAAGAAUUAGAAUUGAAGACCAAGGAGAUAGAUUUGAAAAGAAUGUUAGAAGAAGAGAGGAUUAUGACUAUGGAUAUUAGUGCCAUGUCUGGGCUACAACAACAAUAUUACAAGAGCUUGCAGGAGGAGAUCGUCACUCGACGAUUUAAUAGCUCGGGUUGACCUCGUAUGUCUAUUAUUGUUGUUACGGACUAUUAUGUUUUGCGAACCAUGUUGAAGUCGUAUAGAGAAUUAUGGUAAACAGCAAACCUUGUUAAAUUGUUCGGACUGUUAUGGAAUGCAUACCUUAUAGGCUUAUACCUUAUCAAGUUGUAUGGACUGUCUUGGUGUGUGAAGCUUUAGGCCCUCUUUGUUUAGGCUUAGUCUUAUUGGCUUAGAUUUUUAAGUCAGCUUAUUGGCUUAUAUGAUUUAUAAGCCAGUGAAUUUAAUGUCCUAAGUUUAGUGGUGGAGUCAUACAUCUAUCUCAGAUAAGCCAAAAAAGCUUCUCCAACCUAGCUUUUGGCUUAAUAGUGUAAGAGUGGCUUAUAGCUUCAAAAAAGCCAAACGAAAAGGCUGCUUGUAGGGGUGGACAGGAAGCUCGUGGCUCGUUAACUCGCUCGGCUCGUGACAGGCUCGGCUCGGCUCGGCUCAGCUCGUUUGAAUUUCCUAACAAGCCGAUCUGGCAUUUCAGCUCGUUAGAGAUAACGAGCCAGCUCGAGCUGGCUCGCGAGCCUUAACGAGCCAGAGCAGAUGAGGCCCAGGCGCCUAGCCCAGCCCAACAGCCCAUCACCCAGCCCAUCACCUUGUGAAAACCCUAGAGUCAAUCCCCUUCUGGCUUGUCCCCAUCCUCAAUCCCCACCCAAGCCACCGCCGGCCUCAUGGCUGCCGCUCGCCCGCGCCUAUCCUCCCCGGCGCCGACGCCGCCGUCCCCGCCUCUCCUCCCCGGCGCCGACGCCGCCGGCCGUGGACGCCGCCGCCCGCGCCGCUCCUUCCCGCCGCCGCCGCCGCCGCCGCCCGCGCCUCUCCUCCCCGGCGCCGACGCGGCCGGCCGUGGACACCGCCGCCCGCGCCGCUCCUCCCCGGCACCGACGCUGCCGUGGACGCCGCCGCUCGCGCCGCUCCUCCCCGGCGCUGACGCAACCAGCCGUGGACGCCGCCGCCCGCGCCGGUCCUCCCCGGCGCCGACACCGUCGUGGACGCCGCUGGCCGCGCCGCUCCUCCCCGGCGCCCCUCCUCGGCUCCUCCCCUUGUUCGCUUUCUCUCUUGUCCCCAAAGCUCACGAGCCUAACGAGCUGGCUCGAGCUUUCAAACGAGCCGAGCUGAGCUGGGUUUCUAGAGCUAGCUCGUUAUCCUAACGAGCCAGACCGAGCCGAGCCGAGCCGAGCCAGCUCGACAUCCACCCCUAGCUGCUUGUUUGUUUAGGCUUAGACUUUUUGGCUUAUAAAUUGGCUUAUAAGCCUAAACAAAGAGGACCUUAUUAUGUUUGAGCUUAAGUUAUUUUGGUAUAAAUUAGGACAGUUCAAAUAUGCUACUCCCCCCGUCCCACAAUAUAAGGGAUUUUGCCCCCAUCUAGUUGUCCCACGAUAUAAGGGAUUUUAGUGUACUACUUAUCACAUCCAUCAACUCCAAUUUAAAUUUUUACCUAUUUUAACCCUCAUCUACCCACUCACCUAUAAGCAAAUACUCCCUCCGUCCCACAAUAUAUGGGAUUUUAAAAAAGUUUUUGUUUGCACUGUUUGAUUACUCGUCUUAUUCAAAAAAUUUUGGAAUUAUUUUUUUUUGACUUACUUUAUUAUCCAAAAUACUUUAAACACAACUUUUUGUCUUUUAUAUUUGCACAAAUUUUUUAAAUAAGAUGACUGGUCAAACAAUACAAACAAAAACUCAAAAUUUCUUAUAUUAUGGGACGGAUGGAGUAUCAUUUAAUAAGGGCAUUCUAGUAUUUUCUUGCUAUCCUUAAACUUACAUAAAAGGGAAUAAUACUUUAUAUUAUGGGAUGGAGGGAGUAACAUGGUACUGACCACAUAAAUAUAUUAUUCCAACAAUAUGGACUACAUUCCUAAUGCAUUUCUCCAUGACAUUCACUUCAAGAAAAUUGAAGUGUUCCCCCCCAAAGUUUUCAACAUUGUGGCAAUAAUUUAUACUGUUGCCAAAGUUUUAGUUUUUUGGAGUAAUUAGUACAAUUUGUUGAACAAUAUAGUGUUGUAUUAGUACAAUUUUUUGGAGUAAUUAGUCUUUUUUUUUUUUGGAAAAAAGUACUUUAUAGUUUUGUUCCAACAUAAAUGAGUUAUGGCAACAAAAAGAAAAAUGGCUAACCUUUGCAACAUUAAAAACUCUAAUUCUACAAUUCUGAUUUUGUGCCAAAUAGUUUAACGUAUUGGCGUAUUGCCAUGUUAUACAAUUAUUGUAUUUCACAAAAAGAAAAAAGAAAAAUACAAGGACAUAGUAUUAUUCAAGUAGUACUGCUAUGAUUUCGUAUCGAUGUAAUCAAUUUCUUUAGCUUUUUUAUAUCCUUUUAGCCAUGAAUAUCAAUUUAUUCUUAAUAGGGAAAUCAGUUGCAGGAACACACGGGCAGUUGGACUCUUGUAGCCACCAGCCAAACCAACCAACAUCGCCACCAAAGCAAGCGUUGAUUCCGCCCUUGGUCUCUCGACCAUCGGCUACAGCGGUAGUGGCCCCCUGCUGCUACCAUUGUGACGUAGUGGACUUGAUAUAGCAUCUUAUCUUACAACUUAGUGGUCACUAUUUUGGAUUUGGCGGGUCACUAUAGAAUGAUCUUAUUUUAUAUAACCACUAACCCAUAUAUAACAAAUGACAAAUUUCUUAGUUGUUUUUGUGUCCCAAAACAUUGUAUUAUUAUGAGUUGUAACGUCUAAUGAGUAGAAUAGCAUGUUUGGUUCUUAAUUUAAUUUUAGUUAGAACAACAUCUUCGAAUGCUACUAAAUAUUUACUUAUGCUCAUAGGUUAUAUGUGUAUUGAUCUAUCACUAAUUUGUUUCUCAGUUGAUUUCUUAAUGUUUUUGAAGUUAUUAUUCAAGAUAUGUACACUCAAAUAUGUGUGAUAAUUAAAUGCGGCUAUUGGAAUUUAGCAUUUGCUAUAGCACCGGUUAUCCGCGAUCCGCUACAUAGGCAACCUUACUUCUCUUCUCCAUUCGAAGUGAGAUCUGUCUCUUCUCGUCUUCUUGAGUUGGAUACUUGGAUUUGCUUUACCUUAAUACUAAAUCAAUUUCUUUUGUCUCUUUUGUGUUUGUGUGCGAACAUGGAGGUACGAUGGCUUCACACUAUAUCCUUCCUUGUUAGUUGGGAGUAUAGUCAACUCUAAUGACCCAAAGGUAGGCAACUGCAUUCGCUGUGUUGCACUUGGAGAGCCACUAGAGGAGAGAGUAGAGGAUAGUGUCAUACCCAUACAUUGGGUUGUUUUUUCUAGCCAUUCUUGACCAAGGCUGAGUUUAGUUCCAAAAUUUUUCUUCAAACUUCUAACUUUUUCAUCACAUUAAAACUUUCGUACACACACAAACUUCCAACUUUUCCAUCACAUUGUUCCAAUUUCAAACCAAACUUCCAAUUUUAGCGUGAACUAAACACACCCCAAAUACUAGAUACCAGCCAUUGAGUUCAAUUCUAGUGGAGACAGAAUGUGUCAGGGCCCACAUGUCAGAUAAAUUAUGUCUUUGGUCUACAUAUUGAAGAGAGCUGAUGAGUUUUUUUAAUAUAGGUGAGGCUUAUGAUAAUACCUAUGGCUAAUUCAUACACUGUAGCAAUUCCAGCGAUUCUUGUACACGAUAGGCCAAUGUUAAUGUUGGGUUCUCUCACGAAUUCACUUUGAUUAACUAGAAAAGGAAUAAGUUUACUUGAGGUUCCUCACAAUUCGUCAAGUCUGAAAUUCAUCCCUAAACCGAAAAACAUGACAGAAUGCGUCUCUCAACUCCCAAAACCACUGCAAAUAAGCUCCCAGGAUGGUUUGGACUGCGGUUUCAGCUGACUUGACACCUACGUUGAUGGUUUGACUUGAUCCUUGUCCCACGUGACAUUAAAAAAAUAAAAAAUUAAAAUGAAAUAUAUGGGCCUAUUUGUCAAUAAAAUAAAAACAUAAAAAAUAUAGUUGGACCCAUACUUCCUCGACCUCACUGCUUCUCUCCUCUCUAUCUCCUUCCCAUCCAUGGAGCUGCAUCUCGCCGCCCUCUGCUUCCCCCGCCUCCACUUCCCCUGCCUACUUUCCUAAGGCCACCUCCACCACCACCGCCUCUGCUGCCUCCUCCUCCUCGUUGUCGUCGGCGGCAGAAGCCCUCAAGCCUUACAUGCAUCUCUCGCGGCUGAUGGAGGAGCAGCCCGUUGUAAACCACCAUAGGCUGCGAAAGGAGCUGGGUCCCGCCGCGCUCUCCUCCCUCUGCACGGGCAUCGAGACACUAGUCACCGAGGGGCGGCACCACAAGGCGCGUGAUGUGUUUCGCGGGGCCUAGGCUAGGGUGCCGUUCAUGUCGCUUUCGAGUUCACCGGAUAGAAAUGGAGCAAAAUUCACGAGAUUUAAUUCGAGAUUUCUAGGGCUUUUUUUGGGGAAAGAAGGGGAGAUCGAGGGAAUUCCAUAUUCAAUCAAUUUUGAGGGAGAGAAAACGCGUGGCUGGAUCGAGCGAAGCAGGCGGCGUCGGUCUCAGGUGUGCACAGGACUUCCAUUCGGAGGAGCAAGACAAUGACUAGCAGUGGGGCUGAAGCUGUCAGCGAGAUGGGAAGGAUGAGAUAGAGAGGAGAGAGAAUGGGUGAGGUGGAGGAAGUGGACACACUAUUUUUGUAUGUUUUUAUUUGACUAACAUAUGGGCCCAUAUAUUUAUUUAAAUUUUUAAAUUUUGAUUCUAAUACCACAUUAACGCUACAUGGGAUGAGGAUCAAGUCAAACCAUUCACAUAGACGCUAUGUUAGCUAAAACUGCCGUUUAAACCAUCUUGAGACCUUAUUUGUAAUGGUUUUCCGAGUUGAGAGACAGACCUUAUUUCAGUUAAGGGAUGAACUGCAAACUCGGCGACAAAUUGAGGGACUUGUUCCACUAGAAAAUCCAGUUCGAGUUCAUCCUUUCCCCAGGUUUCCAGCCUGUUGCAGCUCAGCUAUUUGGCCCACUCCGGCCCAUGGACACGAGGGUUUGGAAACCUGGGUCGCAGGCCGCAGCUGUCUUCUGGUAGAUUGGCCUGGUCACUGCUUGUGUAUUGUCCGGAGCCUGUCUUGCUUGGUCAACAGGACAUGUCAGGCACCGUGGUCUAUGCAACGAAAAUACAUUCAAAAAUUUCACUGUAAACUUUGCAUAAGGCAGGGCAAAUACAUUUUGAUUUAACUGUUUCUUUUUUAAAAAAUGUGUCAAUAAUAUAAAGUUUAAUCAGAACAAUAACGUCUAUCGUGAACAACACACGAGGUAACACUUCUAAUUAAUUACCAUUAUAGGGUUAUCAUUCUCAACCUUCAUCGACGAUGGUUAAGACAGCUUCUUAGCUUAAGAGCGAUAUGAACUUGACGGCGACGGCCACCGCGUUCUGCGCCGCCAGCGCCGCGAACACGCCGGCCUCGUUGGACUCCGCGGAGCCGCCGCCGGCGAGGUCGGAGAGCGACCGUAUGGCGAUGAACGGCGCCCCCUGCUGCGCCGCCACCAGCGCGACGGCGGCCGACUCCAUGUCGAUCGGCGUCACGCCCAGCCUGGACCGCAGGAACUGCCUGUACGCCGCGUUGUCCACGAACACGCUGGCGCUGCACCCGCGCUCCACGCGCGCCACCGCCGGCGCCCGCGCCAGGCACGUCGCCGGCGACGUCGCCGUCCCGGUGCGGUUGACGCAGCGCUCCAGCGGCAUCGCCUCCAGCUUCUGGGCGAGCUGGUAGUACCGGCCGUCGACGGGGACCCAGAACUCGUGGCGGCGAGACUCCGGCGUGCCGUCCGCCGGGAACACCUCCUCCGGCUGGUACCACACGCCGUUCAGCAGGUUGCCGCCGCCGCCGCCGGCGACGCCGUAGUCGGAGAAGUUGAGCGCCCCGUACUUCCUCGUGUAGUCGCCAUUGGACUCCAGCGCGAGCUCCUUCUCCGGCCCAUCGCCGUACCGCUGUGUCCGAAUUAAUUAAUGAACACCGAUCAAAUCACCAAAACCAAUUUGUUCUUGAUUUGGAUGAAAUUUGAUGAAAUUAAUUAAUCAAUCAUUCACCUGCCAGUUCCAGAGUCCGGUGUGCGCCCAGUAGCGGGGGACGGUGACGUCGCCGAUGUGGAGGUCGGGGUCGGCGUUGCCGGCGAUGCCGAAGUGGACGAUGCCCUCGACGUCGAAGAGGGUGAGGAGGAGCUGGGUGGUCACGCCGGAGUUGAGCUGCGUUCGUAUGAAGCCGCGGCAGUUGAUCAGGUUGGCACAAUGGAAUUAAUAAUUAAGGUAAUUGACACAAUCUACUCUAUGAUAGUUAUGACGCCGUUAAAUUCUAUCAUGUCUUAUUAAAAGUUUUAUGUAAAUAUAUAAGAUAUAAUUCGUACUUAAAGUACUUUAAGAGAUAAAAUAAUUUACAAUAAAAUACAUUAUAAUUACGUGAAUUUUUUUAAUAAAACAAAUGAUAAAAAUUGAUAAAAAAUUAGCAGUGUCAUCUAUUAAAAGACAGAGGUAGUAUAAGUAUACGGCUUAAUUAGGUAAUGAAAUUAAUGAAGGUGUACAAGUAUUUACCAUGCCGAGGCCUGUCAUGACGAUGAUCACCUUCUUCUCUCCUAUCGAUCCGAAGCGAAAUCUCCUUCCUACAUGGAAAGACAUGUGGUUUUGGUGAGAAAAAUAUUUAACCGAACUUGAUUGAUGUCGUUUUUUUUUUUUCUACUACAGAAAGAACAACUUGAUGGGUAUUGGUUUGGGGGUGCUAAUGGGCCUGAGUUUGAGGCAGCCCAGCUGGCAGUCUUGGUUUGGGCUAUAAAUUAAGCUCAAGCCUGGUGCAUAAUUCAAAAUCUUGGCAAAAAAAAGGAGAGAAAAUCUGUAAUGUGGAAAUUUAUGAUCCACUUGAAAUUCUUCAAUUCAAAUUGGGAUUUUGAUGAAAAUUUAAAAAUAAAAUUUAAUUUUCGUGGAUUUUGAUGCAAAUUUGUUCAAAGUUUAAAUAAAAGUUUAAUUUCGCUGGUCUGUGUAAUCUUUUGAGUUUAGGUUGAAGGGGCAUUUGCAGCUCUGUGCGUGUUAGCAUAUAUACAGCCAUGCUGCAGGUGCGUCGACUCAUGUACUACUCGUAGAAAAAGAUCGAUACUACUACUACUAAUUGAUGGUGAUGAACCACUAAUUUUAUUUUGUAAAUCUGGCGAUCAAUUUAUUCAUCAAGAUUGUGAGAGAGUCGCAAACAAGCAGUUGUGACUACUUGCAUUUAUAUACGUACGUACACAGCUUAUCAUAAUCUGUUUGAUCUUCAAGCUGGUCAAUGGUAUGCGUUCGUACACGCCAUGCAUGGCCUAAACGAGUUGAAAUUAAACCCGACGAUUAGUAGAGGAAACGAAGUAGAAGAGUAGUACUGUAGUAGUAAAAGCUUAGCAACUUGGCCACAUGGCUAGCUAGGUAGGUACACGUCGUCAACUUCUCAUCUUUUGACAUAUAAAAGUCUAUACAAAUACUCCUCCGUCUAAAAAAAAGUCAAACCAUGUAUUUCCGUGUACAACUUUAACUGUCCGUCUUAAUAAAAUUUUUUUAUAAUUCGUAUUUUCAUUAGUGUUAGAUGAUAAAACAUGAUUAAUAUUUUAUGUGUGGCUUGUCUUUUUAAUUUUUUUCAUAUUUUUUUCAAAUAAGACGGACAAGUCAAACGUUGGGCACGGAAAUUAGGGUUUGUCUUUUUUUUUUUUUGGUUGUAGAGAGUAAUCUAGAUACUGUUUUAACGUGUUUCUUUAGUCAUAAGUUAACAUAUAUUUUGAAGUGGAUAUACUAAUUAACACAUACUUCCUCUUCUCAUCUUUUGACAUAUAAAAGUCUAUACAAAUACUCCUCCGUCUAAAAAAAGGCAAAUCUUGUAUUUCCGUGUCCAACUUUAACUGUCCGUCUUAAUAAAAUUUUUUUAUAAUUUGUAUUUUCAUUUGUGUUAGAUGAUAAAACAUGAUUAAUAUUUUAUGCGUGACUUGUCUUUUUAAUUUUUUUCAUAUUUUUUUCAAAUAAGACGGACGGUCAAACGUUGGACACGAAAAUCAGGGUUUGUCUUUUUUUUAAUGUAGGGAGUAAUCUAGAUACUGUUGUAACGUGUUUCUUUAGUUCUAAGUUAACAUAUAUUUUGAAGUGGAUAUACUAAUUAACACAUACUUCCUUCGUCUAAAAAAUAAUUUAAAACUGGAUGUGACAUCUUAGUAUAACGAAUCUAAACACAUGUAUGUUUAAAUUUAUUGCAUUAGAAUAUGUCAUAUCCAGUAUUAUGCUGGUUUUUUUUUAUGCUACAAGUAUUAAUGAUUGAGCUGAUCCUGACGACGUCGCCCACAGUAAUCAAUCAUUUAAAUAAUCCUACCGUACGUUACAUGCAUGUGUAGCAAGUUGAAUAUGGUAGAGAAUAAAUCACAACUGACCGAUCGAAUGAGGGGUGUUUUUUUUUCCUUAAUGUAUGUGUUAAUUGUGCAUGCGCAAGUAUGGGAUGACUAAUAUACAUGCACAUCCCUAUAUGCAUCCAUUGGUUUGGAUUAAAUAAACAUACGUAUUCAACCCAUUUUUAACAAUAGUAUAAUUUUUAUUUGCCUUGUAACUUGCGUGUUAGAUAUAUCUUCUCAAAAAAUUGAAUUGAAAUAUUCAAAGAGAAAUUAAUGGUAAAAUUUUUAAAUAUGUUGACUACACGUAUUAUUAUAAAACAUCGUUACUUAUUUGUGGAGUAUUAUCUUCUUGAAAAUUAAAUAUAGUACGAUCUCAAAUCCCACUGGUUCUGACUCAUAUUGUAUAAGCAUAUAUAUGCAGCAGUGAUAUCACGUGCAAUUCUUUUAGUAGUAGUUCAUUUGCAGAAGAUUUGUUUGAACAACAUGGAAUUAAUUCGUAAAGCGAUUGUUUGGAAAAGGAAAUGCGUGAAGAAAUCUACAACACGUAUGUCCGCAGACCGCAGUUUUAAUCCAACAUAAAAAAUCGUACAUGCUACGUGUUUGUUCGAUAUAGAGUACAGAAGAGUCGUUCCCUACACGAUUAUCCAAUCAAGAACAAUACGACAUACUUUUCCGAUGUGUUUGUUGUAUAAUUAGGUUGCUCUCGAGAGAACUAUUGAAAAGUCUAUGUUUUUUCGCACAACCUUCCCAAAACCGUGAAAUGGUACGUUAUACGAAAGUUAUUUUUUUAAAAAAUAUUAAUCUAUAUUUUUAAGUUUAAAAUAAUUAAUACUCAAUUUGUCAUGUGUUAGCUAAUGACUCAUCUCGUUUUACGUAUGUUCUCAAUAUUCUCACUUUCCUCUCUCAAACACGACGUUAAUUAAGGUUUAUUUAUCAGACAUUCGCAUUUGGCAACCUGUUAAUUCUUGCAUAAAUAUAUGGUUCUAUCUCUCACUUUUUAAACGAAAUCUGAUCGGGUGAAAAAAUUUACAGGAUUAUAUAUGAGAUAUUCCGGGACCUAUAAUAUCGACAUGUAUAUCCGUUUUUUAUAGUGAAUGUUUCAGUCUACCUAUGUUUUCCAUUCCUCCAAACAUCAAGCGGCUAACUGUGGUUCUCAAAAAAAAAAAAGAAGCGGCUAACUGUCUAGGUACAAACAUUCAGGCUCCUGUGCCAGAAUGAUGGUGGUCAUGCAAGUUUUCACCAAUUUUAAGAUGGAGAUAUAUAGUAAUAGGAUUAAGUGUUGAAUAAUAAUGUCUUUUCACCAUAUAUAUAGUAAUAGGGUUAAGUGUUGAUGCAACUCAAACAUCUACAGGUUUCAUUCACGCAAAUAUUUGAGUUGCAAACUUUUUAAUUGGUUAUAGCUUCUACCAAAACAAACGCUGAGUUUUUGGGGGAGUACUCCCAAAAAAGCAAGCAUCUACACUAAAGGAAUUACAUAAUCAAACAAGGGUAUGGUAAUACCUUCGUCCCGAUAGGUAUGUCUAGAUUCCUCAAUAGGUAUGUUCAGAUUUGUAGUUUACAAUGUGUCUAAUUUUAUUUUAGUUACUAUACAUUUUGCGUAAUUCCAAGAAACAGAGUACAAAUUAAUUAGUUUAUGCGUGUAUGCGUACACGAGUGUGUGCCUAUAGGCAUGCAUGCAAGUGGGUAGUCCCACUAUCAAAAAAAAAACCCGCUUGCAUGCUAGUCUAUUUUUUUUUGCAUGAUAUAUAGUACGAAGAAAAAAUAAACUAGAAGUGGGAUAAGCGGGGAAAAAGCGCGCUUGUCCGCCCCUCUUGUAUCCCUAUGUGCCUACUCAUCGUUUACUAACUAAUGUAGGCGUGAUGUAUAUAGUUCGUAUGUAUACCUGCGACGUCGAGGUAUGGCAGCUUCUUGGCCGGCGAGAAGGCCGGCGAGCGGAGGAGCGGCUCCAUCUCGAACCCGUUGGGCACCACCACGCCCAGGUACGGGCCCCGCCGGUUCACUUGCCGGACGCCCCGCGCCGCGUCCGCCGCCACGGCCGCCGCCUCCGCCGCCACAGCAGCGGCCGCCGCCGCGACCACCAACAGCAAAGCCAGCGUCGUCGUCGUCUUCGCCGGCGACGACGACGACCGAGCAGCCAUGUCGUUAAUUAAUUAACCUUGAGCUAAUGAACUAAGCUAAUAACGCGUAUGCGUAUAACGUGACGAAUCGAAAUAGCUCUAGCAAUCGAUCAUACAAGUCUCACACAAGAUGUGUGUGUGCGCGCGUGUGUGGGAAGAACGAGAUGAAGAGAGACAGGAGAAUGGUAGGGUUUAUAUAUAGAGCUAGGAAACAGGAAGAGGAUUUGAUUUGAGUCAGAGCUCAAAAAGAACAAUCGUGCUGGCCAUCUCCAAUUAAAUACUCCUAUUUAGCUUCCAGGACAAGAUUACAUGAAUGGAAUCAAUGCAAUUACACUAAAAGAAAUAACAGAGGGGUUUCUAUAGAUAUAUAUAUCCGGUAGCGUAUCCUGUGCACAUGCUCACCUUGGUGCACUCAUGCACUCACGCGACAUGGGACCUUCGAUCUCCAUCGGACGGAUAUAAGAUGAGAGAGUCUUCUUUUUACAAAAUAACCCUUCGAUUCAUCUUCUUGUCUCCCGUUCAACCCCUUUCCCCAAAUCUAUCCCCUCUGUGAGGCGUCCAUGGCAGCUUUGAAUCUCUGAAAAAUAAAACAAUGCUCGACGGAGAUGGCCGCUAGAAAUUAAGAUUAAUCAAGAUUCCAGCAUGCAGCCGUCAAAUCCUUGCUCAACGAUAUGUAUGAUCUCAACCUCAGGAUCUUUUGCAUGAUAUAUAUGGCAUGCCAAAAUUUCGAAUCAAACAAGAAAUUCCGAUCGGAUAUGCCAUCGAUGCACACAUCUGCAACCCCCGGGCAAAGACUCAUCCAUUCCAUCCCAUGGGCAAGAACUCUUCUCUCUACAGAGUCAGGUACACUGCGCCGCAGCUGCUCCAUCGGCCGAACACCAUGGCCGUCGCCCUGGACACGCUCGCCCGCGCAUCGUCCCUCUCCAACAAGCUGGACAACCACACGCACCUUGAGGCGUGACAUGCCACUGGCCGCGCCGCCGCGCUCUGGAUGUGAUAUCUCUGUCGCCAAACAUGGCUUAAUUUGAGCCGCCAUUGACGUCAGAUAGAGAUUUUGGGGAAUACAUCUUGGUAAGGACCCAACACGGGAAGACAAAAGGAAUCAAGGGUCUAUUUACAAAUUUACCCGUGUAUGUGCGGGUGGUUUUAUGAAAAAACGUCCCUUUGCAUUACAUCCGUCCGAUGGAGAUUGAAGGUCCCAUGUCGCGUGAGUGCACGAAUGCACCAAGGUGAGUGGGUACACAGGAUACGAUGUCUAUAUAUCCCCAAUCAACAAAUAUAGAAAAUACUUCAUCCGUCCUAAUAUAUAGUAAUAUAGAACGUGUCAUUAUGAAUUUAAACAUGUAUCCAUGUAUCUAUAUGAAGAUAUUGCUGAAACGAAGGUAAUAGGAACGUAGGAUAUAUGUUAUAGUAUUUGACAUAUAGGCCUGCAGCGUUGUCAAGUGGCAAUGCAAUUACUAUAUGAUUCAGCGCUGAGCAAUAUGAACCAAUUAACCAGAUGGCCCGUCCACGUACGUAAGCGUAACUACAGCUAACGUGCCAGUUUGAUUAACGAUUAUAUUUGCUGACCAAUACAUUGUGCGGGAGAGGGCGCACGUUUUUGUACACACGUCAAAAAUGGGCGCAUGGUUUUAGACUGACUUGGAAUAGUAUCCAUCAUAUCGCGUGCUGCUUGCCACUUGAGAUGUGUGUGGUCAUGAACUUGACUGGACUUUAAUUUGCAUGGACCAAAUUAAGCUACAGUACUUGAUCGAGUACGGAAAAUUAAGGAAAGCUUCUUAUCUUGUUCUUAUUUUUUUUUCCUUUGAGACAAGAGACUUGUAUCCUUACUUGAACGAGAGUACAAGACGAAAUGGGCAAGGAUCCAACUUGUAUUAUUUGAUUGAGAGUACACGGCGAAAUGGGCCUUCAAAGUUUGCACGUGGUGAGAGCCGGGUGCACGUGGUAUGUCUGUGUGUGCACUAGCCAUAGGCUUAAAACGAGAGGGCUGCCAGUGCGCAGUAUUGUGUCCGGUUUUAACUGAGGUGGCGCCUACGUGACUAAUUUUAACUAGGUCUUUGUCCAACGUGUCAUUGGCGUGUAUGUGGGCGCCAAAAUGAGCCACGUAGGCGCCACCUCGGCCAAAACCGGACACAAUACUGCCGAGGGCCCUUAUUUAAAUGGUUCCGUAAGUUGGGGGACCCGUCGUACCAGGUUUUGCAACGAAGGGACGAAAAUUGGACUGGACGACAAAUAAAGGGACCCAAAGUGAACUUAUUCCUUUUUGGCCAUGAGGGGGGAGGUCUAUUAGCUAUAUGGGCUGGUCUCCUUUCACCUGCCCCAACCUGGCCGAUUGGAAUAAGUUCACCGAAGGUCCCUCAACUUAACAGUGAGAUUUUUUGUGGUCCCUUAACCACAAAACUAGAAAUGUGUAUCUCCUAAACUCACAUAAACUGUGUACUCAAGGUCCUAUUGCAGUAUUAUUAACGACCAAAUUUGGUAAGAUAUGAAUCAGGUUCGGUAUUGGAAUCAAAGUGGAUUCGGCAAAGAGUUAGAUUCGAAGAACAGAGUAUGCAUCGGCUGAAAUGGACCGGACAGAGGACAGCCGAUACAUUCGACAGCCGAUACAGCCGAUUCCGAUGAAGAUAGUUGUAAAACUGCUUCUAGAAUCGAUCAACGUGCUUCACAAGGAUUGCCACGAUGGAGAAAAGCUCUUAGAAAGGCAAUUGUAUCAUCCAUUAAUUAGGAUAUUUUGAAUAGUUUUUUUAGAGAUAUGUUUGGGCAAAAGUCUGCCGUAAAGACUUAUGUGUAUCUUAGAGUUUGUUAGAGAUAAGAGUCGUGUCCGGCAAGGAUAUAUCACGUAUCUUGGGUAUAAAUAUGACCCAAAUCCAUGUAAACAGCAACACACAGUUCAAUAACACUUUCGGUGCAUCGUCACCCUUUUACUUUCGUUCUAUUUCGACGAGUUCUUGCUUUCGGGUUGAGUUGCAUCGGUUUCGAUCUUCAACUAGAGGUAAACUUGUCACUAUGGCUUGCAUUCUCGUGAUUAGUGCUUCCAUCUUUAUGACACUCUAAUCUUGUUUAUGUUAUUCGUCGAGUUAUCAUAUACACUUUAUAAUCUUUAUUAGUUGUGUUAUAUAACUUGCAAUCGACUGGUUUUACUGUCAGAAAGUAGCCAAUAGAGUUAGAUCUCGUUAUUAAUCUAGAUUAUAUCGUGUAUCUACCAUCUCUUAAAGAUUUUCAUUAUCUUGUUUAGAUCUUACAGUUAUCUUUAUGAUUAAUGCUACAUCGGUUGAGUUCGAUCUAUUAAGUUCUAUCUAUAAUUGUGAUAUCUAGCCUGUUUCAUGAUCAUCAAUAGAGAUAGUAUCAGAGUUUCAGCCGAUCUUACCUGAUUUAGCUACUUUUAUCUUAUAAACUUGACUGUUAUGCUAGAUCUGCCCUUUAUAUUAAGAUCUUAUUGCAUUAAAGUAUAUUAGGCUUUCUGUUUGAUACAUUUUGCUUGUUUUGAUAUCUUAAUAUAGAGUGGUAUCGGAGUAUUAGCCGAUACAUAUUAUAUCUAUCUGAUCAGGUAUGCUAUAAACGUUCAUAUAGUCAUAAUCUUAAUGUACAUUUAGACUUAAGUGAUUUAUACUGUCUCGACAUGGCGUUUGAUCUAUCCCAAUCACUUAGUUUAAGUAUACAUCGAGAGAAAGAUUAUAUAUCGUUAAUAUCUAUAGCCGAUCAAGUAGAUUUAGUUUUAUAUUGCUUUGUUUCUCGUUGCCGAUCUAAUGCCAAUAUCAUCGGCUUAGUGAUUGAUGAUAUGUCAUUAGCUCAUAGCCGAUCGGCUAUCGUUUAUGGAUUUAACCUCGUUUUCUUGUCUUUUAUUCUUGUUGAUUGUAGGAUCAAAUCAAUUGGCACGCUCACGAACCUAAAAACAAGAUUUUGGACCUACACAGGAGUUAAGCAGAUCUUCCAGACCAGCGUGUGUUUUUCGCAUCAACAAAUAUAUAUGGGUGGUUUCGCUGACGUGGAAUCCUAAUCAGAAAAAAAAUUAAAAAAAGUACGUGGAGCCCAUAUGUCAGCUGCACGUUCUCUUUUCUUCUCCUUAGAUCUCUUCUCUCUUCUCUCUUCUCUUCUUCAACAAGAAGGUGGGCAUGGAAGCAUGCUCGGGUCCCGCGAAGUGAAGAAGGCCGGACCAGCCGCAGCGCCGGCGGCGACUUCACCAUCGUCGUCGUUUGGCUUGUGGAGUUGCUCUUCCCGCUGCCGACGCUCAUGUCCUAGCUCCGCCGACGACGCGCGGCUCAGCGGCCGCUUGUUGCUGUCCCAGCGCUGGACAGCCUCCGCGUUCGCAUGCGUUGGCGUGGCAGAGGUUCGCGCUGCUAGGGCUAGACGAUGAAGCUGCCUAACUGCCGGCUUUCUUGUCUGCGUCCCACCUCUCAACGGCGUCAGCUCGACCAGGCUUGGGAUCAGAGGCCGGCCACACGCGGAAGGAGGCGUGGAGGAUGAUGAGGCACGGCGUCGGGAGCAACGGCAACAUCUGGCUCCUCGGCGGGGUCAAGAGCAAUGCCGGCAACAUGCUUGUCGGUGCGUCAGGCGCCGCAGCGCCGGGAAAACCGCUGUCACCAUGACCGCCCUCGCCCAUCGCCGCUCCGCCCGCUGCCCGCAUCCGCGCUCGCCCAUCACGGCUCCGCCCGCCGCCGGUCUCCCUCACUGAAGAAGAGAAGAGAGAAAAGAGAAGAGAAGGAAGAAAAGAGAAUGUGCAGCUGACAUGUAGGCCCUACGUACUUUUUUUUAUUUUUUUUUUCUAACUAGGAUACCACAUUAGUGAAACCAUCCAUAUAUACUGCCAUAGGACCUUGAGUGCACGGUUUGUGUGAGUUUAGAGGUACACAUUUCUGAUUUUGUGGUUAAGGGAUCUUGAAAAAUCUCAAUGUUAAGUUGAGGGACCUCCGGUGAACUUAUUCUUGGCCGAUUAGCCGGAAGCCCGGGACAGCCCAAGCCAAGCAGGCCGACCUGCAACCCAGCAGUCACAUGGACAUGGCCGAAGCCAUUAACUUGAGGCCCAGCUAAUCGGCACAAGGUGGCUAACGUUCAUACUACCCAGCUAUCUAUAACGUCCUCUGCAUUUUUUUCUCUUUCCAAACAAAAUAUAACUCCCGGCCUAUGUACAUAGACAUAUCCUGUGCACAUAAAUUUUGCAUGCACAUCAACUAACAAAUAUUAUCGAAAAUUGUAGAAAAAAAAUGUGCAUAUGCUUUUAAUAGUAAUACACCGAUAUGCAAAGUUUUAGCAUCAAAUUCAUUAUAUAUUAGCUGUAAAAAUAUUUUCUGAUAAUUUUAAGGUUAUAAAUUUGUCAAAAUUUUAUAUUUUUCCCUACGCAUGAUGAAUUUAAAGAUAAGGCUCUCAUCUUUUGGCCCAAUCAACAUAUGCCAAUGCCAAAAUUUAAAUUUUUGAACUUUAUUUUGAAGUUGUUUUUUUAAUCAUAGUUUCUUUUAAACAUUGUCAUUUAAGUCGCUAUGAGCAUAACUGUAACAGUUUUAAUCACAAAUUAUAUUUUUUCACUAAUACGACAAAUGGUGUGUUUUCCACAUAUAGCCAUCAAAUGAGGCCAUAAGAUUUUACGCAUAGAUGUAAUACUAUUAAUAAUACAUGUAAAAUACCUUCUAGAAAUUUCUUUGAUAUUUUGAUAGUUGGUGUGCACAGUGUGUACACGUGAAACCUUAUGUGCAUAGGAUACGAUCCAUACUUAUGAACAUUAGUAUUCAAAACCUAGUGAAUGAAGUCAUGCACUCAUAAGUCAUAACUCUACUAUCAUACCCAAUGGUGCUUCUCCAGUAUUCCUAAAAAAAAUCAAGAAGACGUUUCGUUUGAUUUAAAUUAUUAGUGGAUUAUUGCCACGAAUUAUCUACUUGAUUAUAGGGAUAAAUUAAAUAUUUUAUUAAAUAAAUUUAAUAAAUAGUUUAUGGCAAGUGUUCCAAGUAAUAAAUCAAGCGAAUUUUUUUUGCAUAACAUAUUUUUUCCAAAGCGUUGGACAAAUAAAUAAUUAAAAAGAACAUCAACUAAAGUGGUACAAUCAAUUGCAGAAUAUUUGAAAGAAUUAGCUAGCAGUCUAGCAUGUUUGCUGCUAAUUGAGCAUCAAGUCAUCAACCAAUAGAAAUUGGGCUGCACAAUUAUCUUUGGAUUAAUAGAAUCAACCUGCUCACAACAAAUUGCAAGCUCUGAACUAUCAAGAGCUAUAGGUAGCAGUAAAUUGCUGAACUGAGCAUCACGACUCAUGGUCAUGGGGAGUUUCAGAAUAGAGCACAGAAAAUUUCUUGGCAAUCUAGAGACAGUACAAAAAGGUGAUCACGGCCUGUUAUGUUCUUCCAUGGAUUGCAGCAACGUUAUUUCAAAUUUUAGGCGUUCAAAAUCAACAAUUGGCACAGAAUGUUCAGAACUACGUUCAGAGCUCUGAACAUUAGCACAAUAUUUUAGUGUUUUGAGCAUAUACACAUUGCGCUCUUACCUCUGAAUAUUUGCAGCUAUUUUACCCACUGGUUUGCAUUGACACUUCAGUGACAUGCCGUUCUAUUUCAAGAAGCAUGGCUACGUGAGUACGUGUGCAUAGGAACAAGCAAAUUGAGGAUAUGUACACUGGUGGAGAAACCAUCUUUCGUCGGUCGGCCGAUUUCCACAAUAGUCCCGGAUGCAAUAAAAACCGGGGCUAAAGAUGAUCUUUAGUCCCGGUUCAAAAGGGUAACGGGCAUAUUUGAUCUUUAGUCCCGGUUUGUGUUACCAACCGGGACUAAAGAUCAUCUUUAGUCCCGGUUCGAAUGCUGUCAGGACCUGUCAGGCCCUCCCGGGAUCUUUAGUCCCGGUUGGUAACACCAACCGGGACUAAAGAUCUUAACUUUAGUCCCGGUUGGUAAUACCAACCGGGACUAAAGAUCCCGGUGAUCUUUAGCCCCGGUUGGUGCUACCAACCGGGACUAAAGAUCUUAACUUUAGUCCCGGUUGGUAAUACCAACCGGGACUAAUGAUCCCGGUGAUCUUUAGCCCCGGUUGGUGCUACCAACCGGGACUAAAGUCCCACCCCUAUAUAUAUGUCUUCUUCCUCCUCCAGCUGCCCGAGCAAGCUUCAAAAUUACUUCAAAAAAGAGGGGAGGUCAUGCCAAAAUUUCUAUUGAAUUUAUUUUGGUGAUUACAUACAAAUCGGAGGUGCCUAAAAGGUUUGCAACUUCAUCCUCCAAUGUUUUUUUUGUCAUACUACAUUUGCACCUAUGUUUUGCACACUUUUUUUUGUCUCCAAAAUUUAGUUGUAAGUUGAUGAGAGAGAAAAUGUGUGUGGGGAAGAAAGAAUAUAUAGAAAUUUAGUUCAUUUGCUAAACAAGGUUUUAUAAAAUAGUUGAGAAGGAAAACUCUAGUGAAAGUUAAUCUUAAAUAAUAGAAAACAAAUUAAAAUGAAAAUUAAAAGAAGUAAAACACAUUAAAAUUAGUUUAAAACUUUACAAAUAGUUUUUAAGAAUUAUUUGGUGUAAUAUUUUAUGAUUUUUGUAUGAAUAAAGAUAUCUUAUAAUUAUUGUAUGACUGUCAUUAUUGUAAGAAUAAUUAUUUGUGUGCGGUUUUUUUUGACUCAUGUAGAUGGAUCGGCAAUGGAUGUACGCUGACCGGCGGUCCAAAGAGUUUAUUGACGGCGUGCACUAUUUUUUGAGAGUGGCCGAAGCUAACAGGCAAAGGGGUUUUAUUUGUUGUCCAUGCAAUAAGUGUAAGAAUCAGAAGGAGUAUUCUGCAUCCAGGACUAUUCAUUUCCACUUGUUUGAGUCGGGGUUCAUGCCAAGCUAUAAUUGUUGGACAUCCCACGGAGAGCAAGGUGUUGAAAUGGAAGAAGAUGAAGUGGAAGACGACAAUAUUCCGGACUUUGCUCAGUAUAUUGGAUUUGAAGGAAAUCAAACGGGCGAGGAGGAAAUAGCUGCUGAUGGUAACGACGUUGCGGAUGAUCUUGGUCAGAUGUUGCAGGACGCCAGGGAGGACUGCGAAAGUGAAAAGGAGGCCCAUAAAUUGGACAAGAUGUUGGAGGACCACAGAACUUCGUUGUACCCAGGUUGCGAGCAGGGGCACAAAAAGUUGGAUACCACUCUGGAGUUGUUGCAAUGGAAGGCAAAAAAUGGGGUUAGUGACAAGGCAUUUGGCGAUUUAUUGAAACUCGUCAAGAACAUUCUUCCGGGGGGAAACAAAUUGCCCGAGACAACGUACGAGGCUAAGAAGAUAGUCUGCCCGUUAGGACUGGAAGUUCAUAAGAUUCACGCAUGUCCGAACGAUUGUAUCCUAUAUCGCGGUGAGGAGUAUGAGAACCUAGAAGCAUGCCCUGUUUGCAAAGCACUACGAUACAAGAUUAGACGGGACGAUCCAGGAGAAGUUGACGGGCAGCUAACAAAGAAGAGAAUUCCUGCUAAGGUGAUGUGGUAUUUCCCUAUAAUACCACGGCUAAGGCGUUUGUUCAGGAACAAGGGGAAUGCUAGAAUGUUGCGAUGGCACGCUGAAGAGCGUCAACAGGACGGGAUGCUGAGACACCCCGCCGAUGGUUCGCAGUGGCGAAACAUCGACAGAAAAUUUAAAGAAUUUGGAAAGGACGCACGAAACAUACGGUUUGGUUUGAGUACGGAUGGCAUGAAUCCUUUUGGAGAGAUGAGCAGCGGCCAUAGCACUUGGCCCGUUACGAUGUGUAUCUACAACCUCCCCCCCUGGCUAUGCAUGAAGAGGAAGUACAUAAUGAUGCUGAUUAUUAUUCAAGGCCCCAAGCAACCUGGUAACGACAUCGACGUGUACCUAAGACCACUGGUCGAAGAUCUUAAACAGUUGUGGAAGAAGGAAGGUGUCCCCGUGUGGGACGAGGACAAACAGGAGGAGUUUAACCUACGAGCGCUGCUGUUCGUAACCAUCAACGAUUGGCCUGCACUUAGCAACCUAUCCGGACAGUCCAACAAGGGGUACAAGGCUUGCACUCACUGUAUGGAUGAAACAGAAAGUACGUAUCUUAAGCACUGUAGGAAGGUUGUAUACAUGGGUCAUCGUCGAUUCCUUGCAGCAAACCACCCGGUACGGAAGAAAGGCAAGCACUUCGAACAUAAGGCCGACCACCGUACGAAGCCUAAACAUCGCAGCGGGAAAACAGUGUUUGCUAUGGUUAAAGAUCUUAAAGUAGUGUUCGGAAAGGGGCCUGGAAGCCAGCAUAUAGAGAGCGAAGAUGGUCACGCGGCGAUGUGGAAAAAGAACUCUAUAUUUUGGGAGUUACCAUAUUGGGAAUUCUUGACGUACGCCACGCAAUCGACGUGAUGCACCUCACUAAGAACCUUUGCGUAAACCUUCUUGGCUUCCUAGGUGUAUACGGAAAGUCGAAAGAUACACUGGAAGCACGUAAUGAUCUGAAGCAUAUGGAACAACGCGGCGACCUUCACCCGGAACCAAAGGAGAAAGGAAGCCAUUACUUGAGUCCAGCCAGCUACACUCUUAGCAAGGCAGAGAAGGAAAGUAUGUUUGAAUGCUUGGAGAGCAUAAAGGUACCGUCUGGAUACUCCACGAAUAUCAAGCGAAUAAUAAGCACGAAGGAGAAGAAGUUCACAAACCUAAAGUCUCAUGACUGUCACGUGUUGAUGACACAACUGUUACCAGUUGUAAUAAGGGGUAUCCUUCCAGACAAUGUCCGGGCAACAAUAACAAAGCUAUGUGCAUUCAUGAACGCAAUUUCGCAGAAGGUCAUCGAUCCAGAUAGAUUAGAAGCCCUUCAGAAUGAAGUGGUGCAAUGUCUCGUCAGUUUUGAGUUGAUAUUUCCACCUUCAUUUUUCAAUAUAAUGACGCAUCUGCUUUGUCACCUUGUGAAAGAGAUCCGUAUUCUCGGGCCUAUGUACCUACACAACAUGUUUCCUUUCGAGAGGUACAUGGGCGUUCUGAAGAAGUAUGUUCGUAACCGUGCUCGUCCAGAGGCAAGCAUCGCCAAGGGUUAUGGAACAGAGGAGGUCAUCGAAUUUUGCGUAGAAUUUAUCGAAGACCUUCGCCCAAUCGGGGUACCUGAAUCACGCCAUGAAGGGAGACUACGGGGAAAGGGAACUCUCGGAAGGAAAGCAAUAACGACGGUAGACAACAAUUUAUUCCGUAAAGCCCAUUUCACUGUUCUGCAAAACUCUUCAUUGGUAGCUCCUUACAUCGAGGAGCACUUGGCUCUAGUUCGCGCCAGGAACAUCGGUAAGUCCGAUGCAUGGAUUACACGGCAUCACAUUGAUACUUUCCCCGCAUGGCUACGACAACAUCUCAUGGGUAACGAGUCGAUCAACCAACAACUUGCCUUCCUGGCGAGGGGACCGUCUGGGUCGAUCGCGACAUUCCAGGGAUAUGAGAUCAAUGGGUACACAUUCUACACGAGAGCCCAAGACAUGAAGAGCACGAACCAAAACAGCGCUGUUCGUGUCGAUGCCAUGGGACACGAUGGAACAACUGCCACGUAUUACGGUGCCAUCGAGGACAUAUGGGAACUUGACUAUGGUCCUCUCAAGGUUCCUCUGUUCCGGUGCCAAUGGGUUAGGUUGACUGGUGGAGGCGUAAUGAUUGAUGACAGUGGGAUGACAACUGUUGACCUUAACAAGGUUGGAUACUCGGACGAACCUUUUGUCCUUGCCAAUGAUGUAACGCAAGUCUUUUUCGUGAAGGACAUGUCUAGCAAAGGAAAGAAGGGCAGAGGGCCUGAUGAGCCUAAGCGUCAAGUGGUUCUCCCAGGCAAAAGAAAAAUCGUCGGAGUUGAGGACAAGACUGACGAGGAUUACGAUCAGUUGGAUGGGCAACCCCCUUUCACGGUGACGAUUGACCCUAGCAUCCUCCUAUCAAAUGAAGACACCCCUUACUCUCGCAGCGAUCACAAGGAGGGAACAAUAGUGAGGAGAAAGUACGUGCCGUAAUUAUUGUGUACACGAUGUAAACUAUUUUGGAUGUAUUGAUUAUCUAUAUAAAUCAAUUGAUGUAUGGCAUAUGUUAAUUACGCACGAUUAUUAGAGGUUUCAACAAGUUUAAAUCAUGUAUAUGCUAGUUAUAUGUGAUACUUACAAUUUUUAAAAGUUUUAAAUCACACAGGUGGCAAUUUCAUAUGUAUGUUAAUUAGAGUUUUUAACAUUUAAUUUACUAGCAUUCAUAUGCUAAUUAUAAUUGACUAGAGGAUUUUUAAAAGUUUUAAAUCACGCAAGUGGCAAUUUCAUAUGUUAAUUAGAGUUUUUAACAUUUAAUUUACUAUCAUUCAUAUGCUAAUUAUAAUUGACUGGAGAAUUUUUAAAAGUAUUAAAUUUAAUAUAUUUUUAAAACUAUCAUUCAUAUAUUAGAGUUUUUCACAAUUUAAUUUACUAUCUUUCAUAUGCUACUUAUAUAUGACUAUUCGAAUUUUUAAAAGGUUAAAAUCAUGCAUGUGGCAUUUACAUAUGUUAAUUAGAGUUUUUAGCAUUUAAUUUAAUAUAAUUCCUACGCUAAGUACAUAUGAUGAUUACAAUUUUUAUUAAUUUUAAAUCAUGCAGUAUGUACAUACAUAUCUUAAUUAGAGUUUUUACCAAUAUAAUAAUAUCAUUCAUAUAUAUGCUAAGUAUAUAUGAUUAUUGGAAUUUUUAUUAAUUAUAUUUGCUUAUUACGAUUUAUCCACUUAAUUUAUUACAGCCAAAAAUAAUUUUUCGAAGUAAUUGUCAUUAAUCUUUGUACUUUAAAUAAUGUUAAUGCAUUAACUUCUAUUUUAUAAACACAUAUGUAAGCGAAAAUCAUAUGCAGUGCUAUAAUUUUUAGUCCCGGUUCUUAACCCUAACCGGGUUUAAAAAGAAUUUCGAAAUAGCGGGAAAAGAUAUUUACUCCCGGUUGUUGAGAACAACCGGGAGUAAAGAUCUAGGGGUAUAUAUAUUCCCGGUGCGCCCUCGUCUUCUUCACCAACACUUAAAUGUUUUCGGCCGAUCGAUCUCUCUCGGCCUCUCUCCUUCGCCGCCACUGCCUAGGGCAAAUCCCCGCGCCGACGCCGCCGUAUCUCGCCGUCGUCUCGAGCUCGUCGUCCUCGCCGCCGCCUCCGCCUCCUCCGCUGCCGCCGCAUCUCUGGGGUGAGAGCCGCCGCCGCCAGAUCUCCCUUCAUGCAUCUCGAUCUCUCCGAUCUCGAUCUCUCUCCGUCGCGCCGCCCGCCACGAGACGCCGCGCCACGACGACGACGCGCCACGCCGCCGCCUUCGACGCCGCGCAACGCCGCCGCCGCAUGCCAACGCCACGCCGCCGCCGCCGUCACCACGCCGCCGCCGCCUUCGCCACGCCGCCGCCGCCACGCCACGCCACGCCACCGCCGCCACGCCACGCCGCUGCCGCCACGGCCCCACAACGCCACGCCGCCGCCGCCGUCACCACGCCGCCGCGCCAACCGCCGCCCCGAUGCCGCCACACCGCCGUUAACGAACGAGAACGAGAACGAUCGAACGAACGAGAGCGAGAACGAACACGUCAACAUACGUUGCCGCGACAACGUGAACGAGAACGAGAACGAUCGAACGAACGAGAGCGAGAACGAGAACGAUCGAACGAAGACAAGCGAGAACGAGGGAACGAACGUGAAUGAGAACAAGCGAACGAACGUGAAUGAGAACGAGCGAACGAACGUGAACGAGCUAGGGAACGUGAACGAGCGAACGAACGAGGACGAACGUUAACGUGAAAUGCAAUAUAUAUAUAUAUAUAUAUAUAUAUAUAUAUAUAUGUAUAUAUAUGUAUAUAUAUGUAUAUAUAUGUAUAUAUGUUACUUCGCAUUUAUCCUAAUACAUUUUUUUGUAUCUUGCAGAAAAGACGUGUUGUCGGAGUCGUCCGUCAAGCCUGAGUGGAAGAGCUAGCCCUAGAAGGAAUUGGAGCAGGCAAGUGACGUAAUAAUAUAAAUGAUUGUUAUAUUUGUAAUGCAAUUAAUUAAGAUUAUUAGACCUGUAAUUAGACUUAUCAUAUAAGAUUGUGUAGUGUUCUAAUAUUAUUUGAGUUUUAAUAUAAGAUUAUUUUAUUGCAAAUUAGACUUAGUAUGACAUUAUUGACUACGGAAUUGGUGCGACUCCUAGCAAUUGACUAUUGUAGUCUUAAUUAGACUUAGCAUAUACGCACGAAACACUUAGCAUACAUUACUAUUUUAGUCUUAGCAUGUAAUAUUAUUUGAGUUUUAAUAUAAUAUUACUUUAUUUGUAAUUAGACUUGGUAUGUAAUUAUUGACUACGGAAUUGGUGCGACAAGUAGCAAUUGACUAUUGUAGUCUUAAUUAGACUUAGCAUAUACGCACGAAACACUUAGCAUAUACAUGACUAUUUUAGUCUUAGCAUGUAAUAUUAUUUGAGUUUUAAUAUAAGAUUAUUUUAUUUGUAAUUAGAUUUAGUAUAUAAUUAUUUACUAGCUAGGGUUGUAUAAUAUACGUCACCUAGACUUAGCUUAUAUCACGAUUUGUAAUUAGACUUAGCACGUAAGGUUGUGUAGGGUUCUAAUGUACGACAUUUACACUUAGCAUACAUGACUUAGAUUGUUAAAACAUAAAUGUCUCGUGACUUAGCAGAUGUUUCUUGUAUCAACAGAUGGCUGACCGCGAUGAGGAACAGAUAUUGUACGAUACAAUCGCGGAGGGAAGCAGCCAGUACUGGAAUGAAGAAGAGGGGAACGAGGAUCCAAACCAGUACUUGAACGAGGAAGGGAACGUGGAGAGGGAUGCGGAGGGGAACCAGCAGGGGCACGUGGAAAGGGAUGUGGAGGGGAACCAGGAGGAGGAGGCUAGUGGUAGUCAACCCUCCGUUGGACAGAAGAGGGCACGCGGGCAACGAGGUGCAGCGAAGAAGCUUGAGGGUCGGCACAUCAUAACGGAAGUGGAAGAAGAUGGACGUCCUAGUGCCCCGGCCGAAGCCGCCAAGAACUAUGUACGUCACAGCGGUUGGGUUGUGCGGGAUAACGUGCCUGUCAGUACGGUGUACUGGCGAAGAACAAGGGCACGCGGAGAUCAUGAGAGCUUUGUCCCAGAUUCGGAGAAAGAGAUGCUGUGGACCACAAUGCUCGAGACAUUCACCCUUCCUGCGGGUACAGAGGACAAAGUGAAAAGGUGGACUCUGAAGAAAAUGGCAGAACAGUUUCAGAGCUUCAAGGGAGAUCUGUACCAGAAGUAUAUACUGAAGGGGCAGACACCGAACUUCGACACAUUCCCAAAGCUAAGGGAUCACUGGGACGAGUUCGUUGCAUAUAAGACAGGUGAACAAGGGCAGGCGAUGAUGGAAAGAAACAAAGAAAAUGCCGCCAAGAAGAAGUACCAUCACCACUUGGGGUCAGGAGGCUAGAGCGUCGCGAUGCCGAAGUGGGAGCAGAUGGAGGCUAGCUUGAUUGAGAGGGGUAUCGAACCGGCAACAGCCAAUUGGCCGGAACGAUCGAAGUUCUGGUACUAUGCUCACGGUGGAACGCUCAACCCAGCUGAUGGCUCACUGGUCUUCGGCUAUCAGAUACAAGAGGCUGCGCGACGACUAACAGAUGCAGUGGAAGCCUCCUCUCAGGGCACGUUCCGACCAGACAGAGAUAGGGACGAGCUGACACUCGCCCUGCAGACUCCAGAGCAUCCAGGACGAACUCGAGGGAAAGGGGUGAUUCCUUGGAAGAUUGGUUUCAAGGAGGACAUCCACACGUACAGGAGUCGGAUGAGGAGCAAGAGAGAUACCGAGGCGAAGAUUGCAGACCUAGAGUUCCGGGUAUCGAGCUACGAACUCAACAUGCAAGAGGAGGUGGCAAGGAAGGUUGAUGAACGCAUGGCCGCACAUCGGUCCCAUGAUCCCCAGCCGACCAUUCCUCCUGCAAUGGUGAGCCCGUCAGGAAACCGUAGCAGCUGCGCCUCAACGGGGCAGGUAGGAUCACAGAGCAUGGACGCCAUGCAAACACAGGACGAAUCGACCUGUCCCGUUGAUGACUUCACUCAGCGGACACCAUGUGAGCUGCAUAUUCCUUUCAAGAACUUAUCAAUAAAGGUAAGAUUUAGCCAUUCCGCUAGUUGCUGCUUAUAUAUGUUGAUUACUAAUAAAUAAUCUCUCACAACAUGAAGGUGGCGUCGGGCAUGGCCAUCCCAACGGACCCUUCAGGUACUUACCACUGCAGGCCGAUUCUAGCAGGAUACUCCAAGGUCGAAGUUGAGUUGGUCGAAGGCGCGUACGAGGACCUCGAGCUGGAUUACCCUGGAGGAGACGGUGAGACGCAUCUACGAGACACAUGCCAUGCCAUUAUUCUAUGGCGCAGGCGGUACAUCAUCCUCCCUGGGCGACAAGCGGCGUCUCGUGCACCAUCUCCUCCGGCUCCGCCAUCUCCUCCUCAGGAUCCUGCACCGUCUCCUCCUCAUGCUCCGCCAGCACCGUCUCCACCGCAGGCUCCAGCAUCGACUCCUCCUCAGGAUCCUGCACCGACUCCUCCUCGUGCUCCUACACCUACUCCCCCGCAAGCUCCUCUUCCGGCACCUUCAAAGUCAAGGGCCCCCCCAGCUCCACCGCUUGCCCACACAAGGGCAACAAAGAAGGCGAAAGUUGACGCCGCCAAGAACAAGGACCCAGGGUACGAUUGCACGCAAGAGGAGCUUGACGCUUACGUUGCAUCAGAAGUCAAGAGACAAUUCAAGCCUCGAAGUCCAGAAAAGAAGAUUCCUAUAGACCCCAGUGUCAGGAACUUCUUCAGGGGUAUGUCUGCAUCUGUCAAGGAGGCCAUCAAGCUAUCAGACUAUGAGCGAACGCUGAAGAAAGCAUCUUCUGGAAAGUCCAAACCAGUCCCUCAGCUUGGAGAGCAACCAAACCAGGAGAUCGAGCCGUUGGUGACCGGUAAAGAAAUGACGAUAGAACAAUUUAUUACUGACACCGGUCUAACUACGGAUCAAUUGCUAGGAGUCGCACCAAUCGAAAAGGCGGAAGUGAAAUACAUGUACGAACUCGGUAAACCGCUUGUCAAGCCUGAGCUGCUGCAGUCCCUACCCACACAAAUGUACAAGUUCCAUCAGCUGUACAUGGAGAUGAGCGCCACCGGUAGAGAGAUGAUCGGAGCGAGGAUCAGGGACACGGACUUCUUGCAAGGAGAUGACAUUCUCUGGAUCAAUUUCAGGGGAAUCUACGAACUAUACCAGCUGGACGCCCUCGACGUCUCUAUUAUGAAUUGCUGGAUUUUGUAAGUAUAUCGUUCAGUUAGAUUUCUUACUAUACGUCUCCUUUAAUUAAUUAGGUCCUUGUAUAUAAGUAGACCAUAGAAAAUAAUAUACUCCCUUUUAUCGUUGUAGAAUGGAGAUUCAAAGGGCCCGACGGCGGAGGGUUUUCGAUACUGGAUUCAUCGACCCUCGGAAAGUAAACGUCGCAAUGCUCGACCAAUAUCCACAAGAAACAGAGGACAAUCUCGUCCAUCUCCUGAAGGCGCAGCAUUACAAGACGUUCAUACUGUUGCCAUACAACACAGAGUUAGUUUAAUUUUACUGUCUUCCUACAUACCAAAUUUCAUUCCUGUACGAACUUGCUAAGUGUUUCAUAUGUAAUGCAUCCCACGCACAUUGCAGAUUCCACUGGGUGCUUUUACUCAUCGACCUGGAGGCCUGCACCGUCAACGUAUAUGACUCAAUGGAUAAAAAAGAGUCUACGUUUGACAAGGUUUUCGAACUUAUAGACAGGUACCGUCAUAAGUUCCUUUGUUAAUUAAGAAAAUCUUGUUAUGUUAAUUGCUACUACGAAUCAUAGCUUUAAACUCCAUGUAGGGCUUGGUAUCGGUUCCGUCAUUUGGUCCGCGGCAAAUGGAGAGAAAGACUUAGGCGGAAGUUCAAAUUUCCUAUGAGUACACAUGCUCUACAUUUAUAUUUCUCCGAUUCAAAUACAUACAAGUGUAUAUUAAUUAGAUCUCUCGUUGUUUGUCAUUUAUUUGUAGUGCGCAAAGCAAAAGCAGGGAACUAACUUGUGCGGCUAUUACGUGUGCGAGUAUUGCCACUGCCUUGCAAACCAAAUCAUCACCACAAGAGAGCUCGAUGUACGUACAAAUAAAUUCAAAAUUUCAUUACGUAGCGAUUUCUUGUUUAAUUACUAAUCAAUUUCAUACAUUCAUAUAGUUUAUUCGCAUGAGGGAUAACCUGACCACACACAAGGAAUUUAUCGCGGCGGUUCAAGAACAACUCAUGGGAUUCAUCAACGAAGAAAUCCUUGAUCCCAAGGGUGAAUUCUACUACGACGGAAACACAAUUCACCGGUCCUUAGCUUCUGAGCUAGCAGCGAGUACUACUACGUCGAAAUCGUAGCUAGCUAGGACAUAUAAUGGAUUGUAAUUAAUACAUGACUACAUAUGUUUCUAUAUGCAUGUGUACACAUUUUCUAUAAUGUAAAUAUAUUUUGUUCAUAUAUAUAUCUAUAUACAUAUGCAUUUGCAUAACAUAUAUAUGUAUAAAUACAUAUAUAUUAUGCAUGUAUAUACAUAUAAUAUAAUAUAAUAUAAUAUAUAUAUAUAUAUACAUAUAUAUAUGUAUGCAUAUAUAUGUAUUGAAACAUAUAUAUGCAUGGUUUAUAUAUAUAUAUAUAUAUAUAUAUAUAUAUAAACCAUGCAGCAACAGGGGCAUGCAAAAAAAAAAAAAAGGUCAGCUCGAUCUUUAGUCCCGGUUGGUGUUACCAACCGGGACUAAAGAUCGAUCUUUACUCCCGGUUUGGAAACCGGGACUAAAGGGGGGUUACGAACCGGGACUACAAAGGGUUUCUCCACCAGUGGUAUAUCGCAAUUGGAAAUUCUAGCAAUUGACAACUACUUGUGGGUAACCCCAAAGAGAGGUAACUUAUAACAAUUGAAAAUUAUGAAAGACCAUACAUACUACUUGCAGUAUUUUUCUGAAGUUUAACCAUGCUCAGAACAAUGAUUCAAAUAUACAGGGUGUACUUUGAGAACUUGUGCAGGCUAACAAAUUGCCUUUCGUUAUGCCACAAUUUACUAGAUUGACUAUCUCCCAACAUGUUGAGUGAUCAUUCAGGCCUAGUUUUGUCGCUAAUGACAAUAGAGGCAUUCAAAUAAUCUAGUGAUGAACAAAAAACAGUUGCACGAAAACAAUGACAUGAGAAAGAAACUAUAGCUUAGGCCCAACAUUAUUACUCACUCAAAAGAGCUUCAAGAUGAGCUAGUGCAGGCCUGUAUGAGUAAAAUUAAAGUAAGGAAAUCUAAAAAGUAAACCUCCAGUCACCUCUUUAACUCACCUAAUAUAAAAAAAAUAAAUCAGAAGCAGAAGCUACUCUAUUGGCACUUGGAAAAUCAUAUGCCUAGGUACAUAUAAUACCAUUCAGCUGAAUUAGUCCAUUCAUAUGGCCUUACAUUAAUCAGGCAACUCUGUUUGAUGGUUCCCUGCUCUGAAGAAGCAUGCAUCAAACUAUGCUAAACAAGUAUGUGGAAAUUAGAUUUUAGUUGUAGUUUUUACAUUUUGGUUGCAGUCCUAGGAAGGCAUGGAGCCAAGUAUAUUCUGGGUAGAAAUGGGAAUCAGUUGGAACUGAAGAGAGAGUACUAGGAUUUUAUUCGUUGCUGCUCUUUGUUAGUACACUGGUAGUACUUGUGAUAGACUAAUAUUACUGUGCAUUAGAAGAUUCAGAUAAGCUAGCUAGUGCAGCUUCUCUGAAUCUCUGAUACACAAAGUAGCUACUGAUACAAUGCACUCUGUCCCUACUCUUCUUAUGUAACCACCACCCCCAUGCAGGAGAUGGCUAGCCAAACACUACUCCUGCCUCCCUCUCCUCCUACUGCCCCAAUGAAUGAAUUUUUUUUGAAAAUAAUACGAUUUUAAUGGAAAAUCACAAAAAUAUAAGUCGGUUAGACGAAAUCGUAAGAAUAGCACCCUGUCAAACAACCGGGGUUCGACAGGGUACUGCGGCAGUUCGAUAGGUGAUAAAAAAAACUUCAAAAAAUCGGAAAAACACUGUAGCUUGAAAGUUCGAUAUGUCCUGAAGCGGUACUGUUCACGCGACCCUAUCGAACUUUGUUAGUUCGACAUGUUCCUGCCGAUUCCUGUAGCAGUACUAUUUUAUUUAUUUUUUUUUGGACCAACUACCCUGUCGAACUACCACACCCCCGUCGAAUCAGGGUUGUUCGAUAGAGUGCUGAACAUGCGUUUUCGCCUAAUCGACCCAUAUUUUUACAAUUUUCCAUUAAAAUCGUAUUAUUUUUUAAAAGAAUUCCCAAUGGAACAUACGAAAAAGUACUCAGAGACCCAAUCACACCAACCAGCAGAGACCCCAAAGUUGCAUCCAAGAACACACACAAGAAAAACCAAAAAGAACUGCACCAAGAACUGCAGGUCAAGCUUCCCUAUCCUCUAAUCCAUUUUGCAGCCACUACGUACGUACCUCCAUGCAUGUCACUUCCGCUCGCUGUACUGUAUAUAUUCACUGUCAGGGGUUCGAUGCCGGCCGCCGCCACAGGCAAGCCAGGUGUGGGUUAAAUGGCGUCAAGAAGCACUAACACUAGGACAUGGGAGAAGAGAGGGGGAGGAAGUACGUACUCCUACUUACCGGCGGCUGCCGCAAUAGCUAGCACCCCUGG
rnacentral:lncRNA from 1 species